rnacentral:lncRNA from 1 species
CGGAUUUAAUAUCAACAAUAAUUGGGUAGGACAAUGAUCUGCUUACAAAAUCAACCCCUAGCUCCUUUCCCCACUGCGUAGUCGAUCUCCACCACCAGGGAGCCUCGAAAUACCUUAUACAAUUCCUUCAGUCCAACAAAAAUAGCGCUAGCGUCGGCCACCUUGACAAUUAUUCAUGCACCCAGCCGCCUAUCUGCAAGCAAUUUUUGCAUCAUCUCUAGUACACUCCAUGCACAUAGUUAGCGUGAUUAUAGCAUUGUAGGCAACAAAAAGGAAUCCAUAUGUAGUCUGAAUCUUAACUGAACUUUUUAGGUUUGACUGUCCAGGAGCUCGGUGACACAAAAUUUGACAACUCAAACUUUAAACCUUACCGGUCUACCAUCAUCCAUGGCAAAUCCACCACACACUUGGCCUCAUAUUGAGAUGGUUCACCACCUUCAUCUCACACGACUUGUCACACUGCAUAUCCACGAGCCAAUCCAGUUAAUGUUUGAUGACUGAAAAAAAUUCAGAGUAAAUCGACGGAUGCAUGAAUAAAUCAAUCGAUGCGUUGCAACGGGAGAAAAAAAACUCACACACAAGCCACCAAGCUCUAGGGCCUUCGUCUCCGACAUGGAAAUCAAGCAUACUCAGCACCCAUGCAAUGGGCCCCACGAUCGUCUUGCACCCCUGCGGCCCAACCGGCGACGUCGUCGGCGAGUCAAGGCAGCGGCGGAGCAGGCACGACAAAGAUGCCACGAGCUGCUUGGCCGCCUUUCCCCAAAAUUCAACACAACAACAAAGGGAACUUGGCUAGAGGUUGCGCAUGAACACUUAACUGCAGCAUGGAUGAUUAAAACUUUCAAUAAUACAAAUUUGGCUGUGCGUUACAGUGGGAUAUACAGUGUAUAUGACGGCGAAAACGGGCAAGGAAAAUAAUAGGAAAUGAUUAAAUGUGUUUGUACCUCCUGACAACAUCCUUUUGCGCUGCAUCACGUAUAGUUAUGAUGUCACAAGCAUGCUCUUGAUGACAACGAUUCACAUGUGCUCGCGACCUACAGAGGAUGGAGAAAAGAAGGGCAGAAGAGGGAGGCUUUCAUCUAUCAAGCAUAAAUAUUUACUGAAUAAAAUCGAUCUAAUCUAUACCAACUUGAGCAGGAUUGUCAAAUAGCUUCCUCUUACAUCAGAAAAUCCAGCACACCAAAUAUAUACAUAUGUUUAGCAAUGACACAGAAAUCAGAUUGUUUCAAAGAUAGUGAGGAACUGAGGAUCCACAUAGGGUUUGAAGAAUUCUGACAAUGUAAACCGUAAUAAGUUACGACCUCCAUCACACAUGUAAUUUUUUCAAAUUGACAAGGCAAGUUAUAGGAACUGUAGCCUAGAAAAUGGUAUGUUCCUGUUUGAGAUCAUUUAUAAAAUCAAUAAAAUAUAAUGACAUUAGGGAUCAAGGACCAAAGAUCAAUUAAGAAAAUUAGAGAUUAGGCAAUCAUACUUACCUUGUAAAGAAUGACACUGAUAGAAUUAGUGAGGGGAUGUGUGGUACGCAAGCCAAUGGAUCCGUGCAUCCUUGAUAACACAUGUACGUACACAAAGGUUGCUGGGUUGAAACUUGAAAGGAGAUUGAAUGAUUGAUUCAUCUGUCAGCCGGACAUACACGAACAUGAUUUUGUUCUGUAUCUUUAGGGAAAGGCAUCCUUUCUUGACCAUAUAUCCAUUACUAAAUGAAGUUAUUUUCAGAUUUUUAACUUGGAAGAUCAAUAAUUAGCCUCAAUCCAUAUUGAGUAUGUAGCAGUCCCCUGUUCUCCUUGAAAAGGAAAUAUUGCAAUUGCACAUUUUGCGUACUCAAAUAAUCAAAUUAAUAAAUUUUGUUAAGAAAAAAUCCUUCAGGUGUGCCUUUUGUUUCUUGAGGGUCCACUGGUUCUGUAGUAUCUAUGUCUAACUUUUUUAGAAUUCAUUUUUUUCUCUUUAUGUGGUGUAUACAGUCAAACUAACUAAUAUGUGCGUUCAAUAGUGAUUAGAAGGUACUUUUAGUCAGUCAGUCAGUUGGAUAAAGAUCAAGCUUGGCACCAAAAAAUUGAGAGAAGAACUGAAUAUGCUUCUUAGAUCAUCGAUCCACCAUUAGAUGAGUCAGGAAAGAAAUCUUCCUUUUUUACAUCAAAGAUAGCACACUACCCACUUCCUUAUUUGUACGAUGGUGUAGUACCAAGCCUAUGCCCCUUCACUAAUCACUCAUACUCUCUCACCUGUUAGAAAUAUUUUGUGGUCUACCCCCUAUUCCUCCGCGCUUAUCCGUGGUGCCACUCACAAUCGCAUAUCUGAGGCUAGGGGGUAGGGACCUUCUUAUACUGCGUUUCCAAAGAGUCCGCCUCUUAUACAGUUAUAAGAUUCCUAGUCUUUAAACUAGUUUCCGGAUAGAGUCCAGAUCAAACUACCAACCACGAUAUAAUUUGUCUGUUAGCGGAUCCUAUCCGUCGAGUCCCCGAAGCACGCGCCUGUGAGCAACGCGUCAUAAUAGAGUAUAAUUCCUCUAUUUAUGUAGAUCAACAUUAGGGCCAUAAUCUAAUUACACGAUCUAGCUUCUUCCAAUUAUCAGCGUACCCGGGUAGUCUUUCCAAUAUAUAAAGCAUAUUGUAUUCCACCAAUAAUUGACCGGCUUCCUUAAGCAUGCAACACUUAAGUACAUUCCAGCAAGAGUAAUUCCAUGCACAAAACACAUGUAUAAUUCCAUAUGAGGUAUUCCAAAUAUUAAUGAUAAUAAGUAUUUGAAUAUAGUUGUAGGACACAUAAUCCCAACAUCUCCCACUUGUCCAAAACGAUCAUUCAAAAAUUCUUAAACCCAUAGCCUGAACAUGUUUACCAAAUACCACCUGACUAAGUGACUUAGUCAAGGGAUCAGCAACCAUAUCAGUACUAGGUAGAAACUCUAAAGAAACAGACUUAAGUCUAUUAAUUACAUCACGUAUAUAGUGAUACCUUCCCUCAAUAUGUUUGAUUUUGCUGUGGAACUUGGGAUAUCUGGAAACCUUUAUUGCAGCCUGAUUAUCACAAUACACCACCACUGGUUUGCUAGCACUUUCAACAAUCUCCAAAGUCGAAAGAAAUUCCUUCAGCCAUACCGCCUCCUUCACAGCUUCUGACGCAGCAAUAUACUCCGCCUCCAUGGAAGAUAAUGCCACUGAAUCUUGCUUCUUACUACUCUAAGAUAUAGCGCCACCAGCUAAUGUAAAUAGAUACCCAGAUGUUGACUUCCGGUCGUCCAGAUCACCCUGCCAAUCAGCAUCAGUAUAGCCCUGCAGCUGUAGAUCCUUUUGGUUAAAACAGAGCGAAUAAUACAGUGUUGCUUGAACAUAACGAAGAGCAUGUUUAAUCUGAUUCCAAUGCCCAGUUCCUGGAUUCACUUGAUAUCUACUCAACACUCCAACAAUAUAGCACAAAUCAGGGCGUGUGAAUAACCUGGCAUACAUCAAAGAUCCCAAGGUAGAAGCAUAUGGAGUCUUCUCCAUUUUCUUCUUUUUCUCAGGAGUUUUAGGACAUACCCUCACUGAGUUUAAUUCCUACAGCCAUGGCCACUAAAGCAGGCUUGCAGUUUUCCAUAGAGAAACGUUUAAGAACAGAUUUUAAAUAAUUCCUUUCAGACAAACCCAAAGUACCUUUAUUCCGAUCUCUAAGUAUUUCCACUCCUUGAACAUAGGAAGCGUUUCCCAUAUCUUUCAUUUCAAAUGUAGAAGAUAACCAAGUUUUAACUUCUACCAACAUUUCCUUACUACUAGAAGCAAUAAGUAUAUCAUCAACAUACAGUGACAAGAGUGUAAAAUUUCCUCCCACUAUUUUAAAAUAAAUGCAAUGAUCUCCUUCCAUCAUAGAAAACCCAUAUGAUGUGAUAGCAUCAUCAAACAAAAUAUUCCAUUGCCGUGAAGCUUGCCUAAGAUCAUAAAUAGAUCUACUUAGCUUACACACUUUUCCCUGAUUUUCCUUUUCAACAAAACCAUCAGGUUGAGACAUAUAAAUCUCUUCUUUCAAAUGACCAUUCAAGAAGGCGGUUUUAACAUCCAUUUGAUGAAGUUCCAGAUCAAACUAAGCAGUCAACGCAGCAAUAAUAGGAAUAGAAGUAAAUUUGGCUACAGGGGAAAAAAUUUCCACAAAGUCAACGCCUUCCCUUUGUGUGUACCCUUUAGCAACCAACCUAGCUUUGUAUUUUUCAACAUCACCAGAAGCAUUCAGUUUCCUUUUAAAAAUCCACUUUGAUCCAAUUGCCUUUCGGUCAUUAGGUAGAUCAACCAAUUCCCAAACUUUAUUCUUUUCCAUGGAGUUUAGUUCCUCACGCAUGGCUUCGAUCCAUAACUUUGAUUCUGAACAAGACAUGGCAUUUUUAAAAGAUUUUGGUUCUUCCUCUAAACUAGAAGUUUUAGAGUAUACUUCCCCCAUAAAUACAUAAUAAUCAUCAAGGUAUGGUGGGGCUGCUACAUUCCUCCCACUUCUCCUAGGUAAACUAGUUAUGGGAGUCUCAACAUUUACGUUUCCAUCAAUUUGAUUUUCCUGAUUGUUAGAAUCGGUUUCAACAUUAGUACCUAACGGGGUUGUCAAUAAUUCCACUCUCGCACGUUUGGCACGGCGAGGUGUAUCUUGAUCUAGAAAAACGGCAUCUCUACUUUCAAUUAACUUCUUCUUCUCCGGAUCAUAAAAUCUAUAUCCAUUUGAACCAGAAGCAUAUCCAAUAAAUAUUCCUGGAAAACUCUUAGGCUCCAGUUUUGUUCUUAGUUGACUAGGUACUCUAAUCUGUGCAUUGCAACCCCACACUGCUAAGUUCAACAAUGUAGGUUUCCUCCCUUUCCAUAAUUCAUAAGGAGUAGAACUAACAGAUUUAGAAGGCGAAUGAUUAAGCAAGUAAACAGCCGUAUGAAGAGCCUCUCCCCAAAAAGAUAAAGGAAGAUCAGAAUAUGCCAUCAUAGACCUAACCAUGUCCAUUAAAGUUUUAUUCCUCCUUUCAGCUACGCCAUUUUGCUGAGGAGUAUAAGGUAAGGUAUAAUGAUGAACAAUUCCAUUUUCCUAGCAAAAAUCAUCUAAUAUUCCUGAUGUGUAUUCACCACCACGAUUAGUUCUAAGCACCUUGAUCUUUUUGUUCAACUGAUUUUCUACCUCAGCUUUAAAUACCUUGCACAUGUCAAAACCUUCCGACUUAUGCUUAAUUAAGUAAACAUAGCCGUAUCUAGAGAAAUCAUCUAUAAAAGUAAUGAAAUAGACCUUCUGCCCAAAUGUAGGUACAGACAUCUCGCCAAAAAUAUCUGAAUGAACAAUAGCAAGUGGUUCAGUAGACCUUGACGCUUUAGGAACAGGCGCCCUGUCAUUUUUCCUACAACACAUGCCUCACAAAUGCCAUAGUCUUCCCACUUGAAGUUUAAAAUUCCAGAACUAAUUAGCCUUUUAAUUAUGUUCUUUGAGAUAUGACCCAAACGAAGAUGCCAGAGAUAUGAUACUGAACAAUUAUUGUCUCCAUCUAUAUUCCUCACUUCCAAGUUCUGUUCAGUCACCAUACAAUCCAUCCUAUCAAUGUCCAUAAAAUCCUCAAUAUAGUAGAGACCAUCAAAUCUAUUUCCUGGUUGAACUAAAUUUCCAUUCAUCAGUACUUUAAAUUUGCCAUCUCCAAAUAAGACCUUAAAACCAAUAGAUUCAAGUCUAGAAACAGAGAUUAAAUUCUUUCUCAUGCUAGGGGAAUAAACUGUGUCUUUCAAAAUUAAUUUUCCUCCUCCAGGGAGUUUGAGUGUAUAAUCACCUAUGCCCAAAAUAUCAGCUUUUGCAGUUGUUCCUAGAUAAAUAAAUCUAGUUCCUUUCGGUAUGGGUUUUAAAGAGGUGAAACCAGCACUAUUCCUUGCAAUAUGCGAAGUGGAACUAGAGUCUACUACCCGAUGAUCUGAAGCUGGAGUAGUAAACAAUGAUUCAGAACAAACAAAUAGAUUGUACGUACCAUCAGGAGAAGAAUUAUCCUUCUUGUUGCCCUGAUGCUUGUCCUGGUGCUGCUUCUUAGACUUGUCAUAUUGUUUAUAAGGCUUCUUAUUCUUGCACUCAGUUCUAAAAUGCCCAUACUCUCCAUUUGACGCCCCGAUUCAAUCGUACACUAAUCAUACACGCAAAUGUGUACGAUCAAGAUCAGGGACUCACGGGAAGAUAUCACAACACAACUCUAGACACAACUCAAAACAAUACAAGCUUCAUAUUACAAGCCAGGGGCCUUGAGGGCUCGAAUACAAGCUCGAUACACAAGAGUCAGCGCAAGCAACAAUAUCUGAGUACAGACAUUAGUUAAACAAGACUGCCUUAAGAAGGCAAACAGAAAAGCAACAACGAUCGAAGAGGCAAGGCCUCCUGCCUGGGACCUCCUAACUACUCCUGGUCUUUGGCGGCCUCCAUGUAGUUGUAUCCGUCGGCGGUGGCAUCUGGCUCCAGGGAACCACCAUCUGGUUGCAUCAACCGGAAAGAAGAAAGAAGGGGGAAAAGGGUAGCAAAGCAACCGUGAGUACUCAUCCAAAGUACUCGCAAGCAUCAGAUCUAUACUAAGUAUGCAUUGGUAUCAAAUGGAAGGGUUGUAUAUGUGGACUGAACUGCAGAAUGCCAGAAUAGAGGGGAAGGCCUAGCCUAUCGAAGACUAGCAUCUUCAAGCAGCUCCAAGCAUCUUGCAGCAUGUAGAAGAGUAAAGAAUAGCAGUUUAAUUAACAAGCAUGUUGUAGCAUUAAUGCCCAGAGAUCCUUCCUCGACUCCCUGCGAGAAAGCAAUCCCGGAGCAACAUAUCUCAAGUAUCCAUUUCUAGUUGUAAAAGAUCAGGAUAUAAGUCUGAACGUCCAUUACCGUGGACACGGUAUUCGAAUAUAUAUCUUCCCUGCAGGGGUGCACCACGUUUUCCAACACGCUCGAUCACUCUGCCCGGACACACCUUUCUGGGGUCAAUGCCCAGCCUCGGAAGAUCAACACGUCGUAGCCCUACCUAGGCUUAGCAGAGAGGUCCCCGUCGGUCUACAUCCUAAGCACUACGGGGUCUUGGGCCCAUCGCCCGUUGCACUCCGGGUCGUUGCGAGCAGGGUGGAUACUGGCACCGCCUCAGAUGGCCAGCACGAUCCGACCGUGCCGCCAUGCUGAACUGGACGUCUGACAAAGCUUUGGCUGAUACUGCGAUGUCGAGGCCCAUAACUAUUCUCGCGUGGUGGUUAGUGCGUAAAGGCCAGAGGCCAACUCAGAACAAAUACCCAAACCUGUUAGUGAAUUAACAAUUAAAGUAGUGACAGUGAUGUCUACUACGCAACCUUCUUUUUGUAGACGUUGUUGGGCCUCCAAGUGCAGAGGUUUGUAGGACAGUAGCAAAUUUACCUCAAGUGGAUGACCUAAGGUUUAUCAAUCCGUGGGAGGUGUAGGAUGAAGAUGGUCUCUCUCAAACAACCCUGCAACCAAAUAACAAAGAGUCUCUUGUGUCCCCAACACACCCAAUACAAUGGUAAAUUGUAUAGGUGCACUAGUUCGGCGAAGAGAUGGUGAUACAAGUGCAAUAUGGAUGAUAGAUAUAGGUUUUUGUAAUAUGAAAAUAUAAAAACAGCAAGGUGACUAAUGAUAAAAGUGAGCGUAAACAGUAUUGCAAUGCUAGGAAACAAGGCCUAGGGUUCAUAGUUUCACUAGUGCAAGUUCUCUCAACAAUAAUAACAUAAUUGGAUCAUAUAACUAUCCCUCAACAUGCAACAAAGAGUCACUCCAAAGUCACUAAUAGCUGAGAACAAACGAAGAGAUUAUGGUAGGGUACGAAACCACCUCAAAGUUAUCCUUUCUGAUCGAUCUAUUCAAGAGUCCGUAGUAAAAUAACACGAAGCUAUUCUUUCCGUUCGAUCUAUCAUAGAGCUCAUACUAGAAUAACACCUUAAGACACAAAUCAACCAAAACCCUAAUGUCACCUAGAUACUCCAAUGUCACCUCAAGUAUCCGUGGGUAUGAUUAUACGAUAUGCAUAACACAAUCUCAGAUUCAUCUAUUCAACUAACACAAAGAACUUCAAAGAGUGCCCCAAAGUUUCUACCAGAGAGUCAAGACGAAAACGUGUGCCAACCCCUAUGCAUAAGUUCACGAGGUCACUGAACCCGCAAGUUGAUCACCAAAACAUACAUCAAGUAGAUCACGUGAUAUCCCAUUGUCACCACAGAUAAGCACAUGCAAGACAUACAUCAAGUGUUCUCAAAUCCUUAAAGACUCAAUCCGAUAAGAUAACUUCAAAGGGAAAACUCAAUCCAUUACAAGAGAGUAGAGGGGGAGAAACAUCAUAAGAUCCAACUAUAAUAGCAAAGCUCGCGAUACAUCAAGAUUGUACCACCUCAAGAACACGAGAAAGGGAGAGAUCAAACACAUAGCUACUGGUACAUACCCUCAGCCCCGAGGAUGAACUAUUCCCUCCUCGUCAUGGAGAGCGCUGGGAUGAUGAAGAUGGCCACCGGUGAUGGAUCCCCCCUUCGGCAGGGUGCCGGAACAGGGUCCCGAUUGGUUUUUGGUGGCUACAGAGGCUUGCAGCGGCGGAACUCCUGAUCUAUUCUCUUCCCCGAUGGUUGAUACGUCUCCAUCGUAUCUACUUUUCCAAACACUUUUGCCCUUGUUUUGGACUCUAACUUGCAUGAUAUGAAUGGAACUAACCCGGACUGACGCUGUUUUCAGCAGAAUUGCCAUGGUGUUAUUUAUGUGCAGAAACAAAAGUUCUCGGAAUGACCUAAAACUCCACGGAACUUAUUUUUGGAAAAUAAUAAAAAUACUGGAAGAAGAAUCCACGUCAGGGGGGCCUCCACCUGUCCACGAGGGUGGGGGCGCGCCUGCCCCCUGGGCGCGCCCCCUGCCUCGUGGGCCCCCUGACGCUCCACCGACCUCAACUCCAACUCCAUAUAUUCGUGUUCGGGGAGAAAAAAAUCAGAGAGAAGGAUUCAUCGUGUUUUACAAUACGGAGCUGCCGCCAAGCCCUAAAACCUCUCGGGAGGGCUGAUCUGGAGUCUGUUCGGGGCUCCGGAGAGGGGAAUCCGUCGACGUCGUCAUCAUCAACCAUCCUCCAUCACCAAUUUCAUGAUGCUCACCGUCGUGCGUGAGUAAUUCCAUCGUAUGCUUGCUGGACAGUGAUGGGUUGGAUGAGAUUUAUCAUGUAAUCGAGUUAGUUUUGUUAGGGUUUGAUCCCUAGUAUCCACUAUGUUCUGAGAUUGAUGUUGCUAUGACUUUGCUAUGCUUAAUGCUUGUCACUAGGGCCCGAGUGCCAUGAUUUUAGAUCUGAACCUAUUAUGUUUUCAUGAAUAUAUGUGAGUUCUUGAUCCUAUCUUGCAAGUCUAUAGUCACCUACUAUGUGUUAUGAUCCGGCAACCCCGAAGUGACAAUAAUCGGGACAACUCCCGGUGAUGACCGUAGUUUGAGGAGUUCAUGUAUUCACUAUGUGUUAAUGCUUUGGUCCUGUACUCUAUUAAAAGGAGGCCUUAAUAUCCCUUAGUUUCCAUUAGGACCCCGCUGCCACGGGAGGGUAGGACAAAAGAUGUCAUGCAAGUUCUUUUCCAUAAGCACGUAUGACUAUAUUCGGAAUACAUGCCUACAUUACAUUGAUGAAUUGGAGCUAGUUCUGUGACACCCUAUGUUAUGACUGUUACAUGGUGAACCGCAUCCGGCAUAAUUCUCCAUCACCGAUCCAAUGCCUACGAGCUUUUCACAUAUUGUUCUUCGCUUAUUUACUUUUCCGUUGCUACUGUUCCAAUCACUACAAAACCCAAAAAUGUUACUUUUGCUACCGUUACCCUUACUUCCACACUACUUUGCUACUAAAUACUUUGCUGCAGAUACUAAGUUAUCCAGGUGUGGUUGAAUUGACAAAUCAACUGCUAAUACUUGAGAAUAUUCUUUGGCUCCCCUUGUGUCGAAUCAAUAAAUUUGGGUUGAAUACUCUACCCUCGAAAACUGUUGCGAUCCCCUAUACUUGUGGGUUAUCAAGACUAAUUUUUGGCGCGGUUGCCGGGGAGCAUAGCUCUAUUCUUUGAGUCACUUGGGAUUUAUAUCUGCUGGUCACUAUGAAGAACUUGAAAGACGCGAAAACAAAAAAUUAUCCCUCAACUACGAGGGGAGGUAAGGAACUGCCAUCUAGCUCUGCAUUUGAUUCACUCUCUGUUUUGAGUAAGCUUGCGACAUCUAAACCUACUUCUGCUAUUAAUUCUGAUAUGUCGCAUGUUAUUGAUGAUGCCACUUCUGCUAUGCAUGAUACUUAUGAUGAAACUACUUCUAUGCUUGAUACUACUGUGCCACUUGGUGAAUUUCUUAAUGAACAACUUGCUAGGGCUAGAGAGAAUGAAAUUAUUGAAACUGAUAAUAUUGAAGAUAGUGAUGAUGAAGACUCUCCCCCUAAUAAAUAUGAAUUGCCUGUUGUGCCUGAGGGUUAUGUUCUGGAUGAAGAAUCUGCUAGAGCCAUUCUUGCUUGCAAUGAUAGAAGUGAUCUUAAGAAGUUAUUAGCUAAAUGGAAGCAGCAAUCUCUUAAUGCUAGAAUGAAACUUGACCUUGCUUUUGCUACUUCACCUAUCUGUGUUACUGAUAAGGAUUAUGAAUUCUCUGUUGAUCCUGAUAUAAUUACUUUGGUUGAAUCUGAUCCUUUCUAUGGUUAUGAAUCUGAAACUGUUGUGGCACAUCUUACUAAAUUAAAUGAUAUAGCCACCCUAUUCACUAAUGAUGAUAGAACUCGCUACCUUUAUAUCCUUAAAAUAUUUCCGUUCUCAUUAAAGGGUGAUGCUAAGAUAUGGUUUAAUUCUCUUGAUCCUGGUUGUGUGCGUAGUCCCCAGGAUAUGAUUUAUUACUUCUCUGCUAAAUAUUUCCCUGCUCAUAAGAAACAAGCUGCUUUAAGGGAUAUAUAUAAUUUUGUGCAAAUUGAAGAAGAGAGUCUCCCACAAGCUUGGGGGAGGCUUCUCCAAUUACUUAAUGCUUUGCCUGAUCAUCCUCUCAAGAAAAAUGAAAUACUUGAUAUAUUUUAUAAUGGACUAACCGAUGCUUCCAGAGAUUACCUGGAUAGUUGUGCUGGUUCUGUUUUCAGGGAAAGAACACCGGAUGAAGCUAAAAUUUUAUUGAAUAAUAUGUUGACAAAUGAAAAUAAUUGGACACUUCCUGAGCCAAUUCCUGAGCCUAUUCCUAAACCAACUCCGAAGAAGAGGGGUGUUCUAUUUCUUAGUCCUGAAGAUAUGCAAGAGGCAAAGAAAUCUAUGAAAGAAAAAGGUAUUAAAGCUGAAGAUGUUAAGAAUUUACCUCCUAUUGAAGAAAUACAUGGUCUAAAUUUACCGCCUGUUGAAGAAACAUAUGAUCUUAAUCCUUCACCUAUUGAAGAAACUCAUGGUCUUGAUAACCCGACACAGGUAGUAAAGGUAAAUUCUCUCUAAAGAUAUGAUAAAGCUGAAAUCCCUCCUAUUAAGUUUGCUAGCCAAUGUUUGGAUGAGUUUGAUAACUUUAUGGUUACGCAAGAAGACUUUAAUGCUUAUUUUGGUAGACAAUUAAAACAAAAUGCUUAUAUGAUUGAACACUUGGGUGAUUAUAUGUCUAGAGUUAAAGGUGAACUUAAACUCAUUAGUAAACAUGCUUCUAUAGUUACCACUCAAGUAGAACAAGUACUUAAAGCUCAAAAUGAUUUGCUCAAUGAAUUGAAUACUAAGAAUAAUGACUAUGCUGUUAGAGUGGCUACUAGAACUGGUAAAAUGACUCAGGAACCUUUGUAUCCUGAAGGCCACCCUAAGAGAAUUGAGCAAGAUUCUCAGAGAAAUAGUAUUGAUGCACCUAGUCCUUCUAGAAGGAAGAAAAAGAAAAAUGAUAGGACUUUGCAUACUUCUAGUGAACCUAUUACUGAAACACCUGAGAAUCCAAAUGAUAUUUCUAUUUCUGACGCUGAAACACAAUCUAGUAAUGAACAUGAACCAAGUGAAAAUAUUAAUGAAGAUGUUCAUGAUGAUGCUCAACCUAGUAAUGAUAAUGAUGUAGAAAUUGAACUUGUUGUUGAUCUUGAUAACCCACAAUCAAAGAAUCAAUGUUAUGAUAAGAGAGACUUUGUUGCUAGGAAGCACGGUAAAGAAAGAGAACCAUGGGUUCAGAAACCCAUGCCUUUUCCUCCUAAACCAUCCAAGAAAAAGGAUGAUGAGGAUUUUGAGCGCUUUGCUGAAAUGAUUAGACCUAUCUUCUUGCGUAUGCGUUUGACUGAUAUGCUCAAAAUGAAUCCUUAUGCUAAGUAUAUGAAAGAAAUUGUCACUAAUAAAAGAAAGAUACCGGAAGCUGAAAUUUCCACCAUGCUUGCUAAUUACACUUUCAAGGGUGGAAUACCUAAGAAACUAGGAGGAGUACCAACUAUACCAUGCUCCAUUAAAAGAAACUAUGCUAAAACUGCUUUAUGUGAUCUUGGAGCCGGUGUUAGUGGUAUGCCUCUUUGUUUAUAUCGUAGACUUGAUUUGAAUAAGUUGACACCUACUGAAAUAUCUUUGCAAAUGGCUGAUAAAUCAACUGCUAUACCUGUCGGUAUUUGUGAGGAUGUGCCUGUUGUAGUUGCAAACGUUACUAUUUUAACGGACUUUGUUAUUCUUGAUAUUCCCGAGGACGAUAGUAUAUCUAUUAUUCUUGGAAGACCCUUUUUGAAUACUGCAGGGGCUGUUAUUGAUUGCAACAAAGGCAAUGUCACUUUUCAUGUUAAUGGCAAUGAGCAUAAGGUACACUUUCCGAGGAAACAACCUCAAGUCCACAGUAUCAAUUCUAUUGGAAAAACUCCAUCGAUUAUUUUUGGAGGUUUUGAAUUUCCUCUACCUACUGUCAAGAAGAAAUAUGAUAUUCUUAUUAUUGGGGAUGUGCAUAUCCCCGUUGAGGUAACAUAGUGUUAUUCGAAAUUUCUUCGGUUCCAUGUUAGACCGAAUGAGUUUGUUAACAAGACCUGAUCAACCUUGUUAGUGGAUUCCUUUUGAUGAGCAUGAGAUGGAUGAAGUUAGAAAGCACAACCAUCUGUACCCUCUCUCUACUUUCUGUUAUUUAGUUGAAAUAAAGCAAAAAUAGUAUUUUUUCUGUCAGCUUUCUGAAUUAUCCGUUCAAUAUAAAAAUACCCCAAAAAUAGAAGUUCUCCAAAUGCCCUGAAAAUGGAAUAUGAUUUUUCUGGAAUAUUUGAGAAUAUCUGGCACUGAGAACACAGCAGGGGGAGCAAGCACCUGGCCACGAGGGUCCAGGGCGCGCCCACCCCUACAGGCCGCGCCCCCUGCCUCGUGGGCCCACGGUGGCUCCCGUCCACUUAUUCCUUGUGACGCCUGUAUAAUCAAGCUACAGUAACCUCUGCUAAUGAUGCCACGCCACCUCGAUUACUGUUGCUAAUCUCGCGUUAGUUCGAAACCAAUUCGAACUUCAAAUUCAAAAUAAAAGCACACAUUAAAAGCUUUCAAACAUUAAAACCAAAAUGUUAUUUUGGUUGCAAAUAAUCACUACUGAAUUGUCGUGCAGGAACCAACAUUAAUGAGUUAAUAAAAUGUCAUUAACCUAUUUUUAAAUUAGACCAACAACACUUAAGUGGACCAUGUAAAUUCAAACCGAAUUUUAAAACAUUUCAAAAUAAUCUCAAACUUGGGGAACAAUAGCAAAAUAUUACCAAGUAUUUGUGUGACAGGUUUCAUAUGCAACUAAAUUCUUUUGUUGGCCCAAAAUAAAUACCGAACGGAGACUAAAAGGAAAACAGAAAAGUUAAAAAUAAAUAAAUAGAAAAGACCCCCCCNNNNNNNNNNNNNNNNNNNNNNNNNNNNNNNNNNNNNNNNNNNNNNNNNNNNNNNNNNNNNNNNNNNNNNNNNNNNNNNNNNNNNNNNNNNNNNNNNNNNNNNNNNNNNNNNNNNNNNNNNNNNNNNNNNNNNNNNNNNNNNNNNNNNNNNNNNNNNNNNNNNNNNNNNNNNNNNNNNNNNNNNNNNNNNNNNNNNNNNNNNNNNNNNNNNNNNNNNNNNNNNNNNNNNNNNNNNNNNNNNNNNNNNNNNNNNNNNNNNNNNNNNNNNNNNNNNNNNNNNNNNNNNNNNNNNNNNNNNNNNNNNNNNNNNNNNNNNNNNNNNNNNNNNNNNNNNNNNNNNNNNNNNNNNNNNNNNNNNNNNNNNNNNNNNNNNNNNNNNNNNNNNNNNNNNNNNNNNNNNNNNNNNNNNNNNNNNNNNNNNNNNNNNNNNNNNNNNNNNNNNNNNNNNNNNNNNNNNNNNNNNNNNNNNNNNNNNNNNNNNNNNNNNNNNNNNNNNNNNNNNNNNNNNNNNNNNNNNNNNNNNNNNNNNNNNNNNNNNNNNNNNNNNNNNNNNNNNNNNNNNNNNNNNNNNNNNNNNNNNNNNNNNNNNNNNNNNNNNNNNNNNNNNNNNNNNNNNNNNNNNNNNNNNNNNNNNNNNNNNNNNNNNNNNNNNNNNNNNNNNNNNNNNNNNNNNNNNNNNNNNNNNNNNNNNNNNNNNNNNNNNNNNNNNNNNNNNNNNNNNNNNNNNNNNNNNNNNNNNNNNNNNNNNNNNNNNNNNNNNNNNNNNNCGCCGUUUCGCCGUACUGUUGCGGCCGCCGUCGAGGCCGGCGCCCCCCUGGUGGCCUCGGGCCUGCACGCCCGGCGCCCGUAACUGCGCCUGGGUGCCCGAUGCCCAGUGCCCGUUAGCCUCCCCCAGGGCCUAUGACAAAGGGGGGCCGCCGAGAUCGUUUUAAUUAAUUAAUGGACGUUGCUAGGUCUGCUCUCCGGCAGGUGUGCAAUGGGCGAUGGGCCCAGACCCCUACGCGCAUAAGAUUUAGACCGGCGUGCUGACCUCUGUGUUGUGCCUAGGUGGGGCUGCGACGUGUUGAUCUUCCGAGGCCGGGCAUGACCCAGGAAAGUGUGUCCGGCCAAAUGGGAUCGAGCGUGUUGGGUUAUGUGGUGCACCCCUGCAGGGAAGUUUAUCUAUUCGAAUAGCCGUGUCCCUCGGUAAAAGGAUGACCCGGAGUUGUACCUUGACCUUAUGACAACUAGAACUGGAUACUUAAUAAAACACACCCUUCCAAGUGCCAGAUAUAACCCGGUGAUCGCUCUCUAACAGGGCGACGAGGAGGGGAUCGCCGGGUAGGAUUAUGCUAUACGAUGCUACUUGGUGAAUUUACCAUCUACUCUCUUCUACAUGCUGCAAGAUGGAGAUGGCCAGAAGCGUAGUCUUCGACAGGAUUAGCUAUCCCCCUCUUAUUCUGGCAUUCUGCAGUUCAGUCCACCGAUAUGGCCCUUUACACAUAUACCCAUGCAUAUGUAGUGUAGCUCCUUGCUUGCGAGUACUUUGGAUGAGUACUCACGGUUGCUUUUCUCUCCCUUUUCCCCCUUUCUUUUCUCUCUGGUUGUCGCAACCAGAUGCCGGAGCCCAGGAGCCAGACGCCACCAUCGACGACGACUCCUACUACACCGGAGGUGCCUACUACUACGUUCAGGCCGCUGACGACGACCAGGAGUAGUUUAGGAGGAUCCCAGGCAGGAGGCCUGCGCCUCUUUCGAUCUGUAUCCCAGUUUGUGCUAGCCUUCUUAAGGCAGACUUGUUUAACUUAUGUCUGUACUCAGAUAUUGUUGCUUCCGCUGACUCGUCUAUGAUCGAGCACUUGUAUUCGAGCCCUCGAGGCCCCUGGCUUGUAUUAUGAUGCUUGUAUGACUUAUUUUAUUUUUAGAGUUGUGUUGUGAUAUCUUCCCGUGAGUCCCUGAUCUUGAUCGUUCACGUUUGUGUGUAUGAUUAGUGUACGAUUGAAUCGGGGGCAUCACAAGUUUGUAUCAGAACCGACUGCCUGUAGGAAUCUCCCUUCCACACGCCUUGGCCGAAGUCGAGUCUAGACAUUACAAAACUUUUACUAACAUGGUUGUGUGUCUUACGGGCCCACGUCGCCAUUGGGUGGUAUUCGGAUCUUUUACUCCUCGUCUAUACUCUGGGACUCUGGUCUCUCUCCUAUUCGGGUUAAAUGAUCUUGCUAACUCUAACUCUAGGUUCUCGUAAAUACUUUCUCCCGGAGAGCCCCUCGGUACGAACGAUCGCUUGCUUCACCAAAAGAUCCCAAAGACACCCUACGAUGUUCUCUCGAGACUAUGUGCCAUCGCUUUUACAAUUCCCUACCACCAAUGUAUCCUUAUGGAUAACUACCUACAUUUGUCAUCCAUACAUUCAACCCCAGUUGAUCUUGUUAUUACAGAUACACCGAAAUUCUCUCUAUUUUUCCGAGAAUGCUUUGUGCCUACUGCCUUGCAGUUCUUUGCCACCUGAAUACCCCUACGAGUAAUUUCUCGCACUUAUCGAAUAUCCGCUCAUCCCCAGAUGAUUCAUGUAUUUCACGAAAUUCUUCGAAAUACCAUUCGGUCUUCCGAAAAUCCUAAGCAGCCUAUUGCUCCUGAAAUUCUUGCUUGCUUGCGUUAUGGUUAAUACCAUAAAUCUCGUAAUCUUAUUGGCAUCCCUUGUCAUUUUCAUUUUGAGUAUGUUGAUUCAAUAUGUUGCGAAUGCUCGCAAUCCUCAACCAGAUCCUAGGAUUCAUCCUUCCGGCUCAGACGUCAUUUUAAACAUGAGCUGGAUCUCGACCAAUCAAUUUGUCGUCGAUUGUACCCCUAAGCCUACUCAACUUAUCAAUCCUUAAUCAGAGUGUUUGCUUCUGAUCCCUUGAAUUGGAAAUCUUAAUUCCUUUGCAUUUGAGCUUUGAAUUAGUCAGUUUUUUCUAUAAUCCGAUGCCCUUUCGUUCCUUCUUCCUCUGAUAGAGUACCGAUACUCGCAUCAGCUCCGUUGUAGACCACACGACCCCCUUGUUGGAUUAUUAUCCGACAGUGUCCUUCCUAUUCAAUAACCUUGUGAGCCUUUCCAUGGGUAUAUAAUGCCUUUGGUAAUUUGUAUCCUCUGCUUUGAUAACCAUACUGUACUUUUGAGCUUGUACUAUUUACUCCGAAGUUUGUGGUAUAUGUUCCUAAGAUGCCCCGAUGGGUUGAACCAGCGCCUUCCCUAAUUUGUGUGAACCCAAAAGAUUUCACGGGUCAUACUUAUCUGGUAUUGCACCAGGUAAAACUUUCAACAACUAAUGUCAUUUUCUAAAUACGAGAGGUGAAUGGAAGGUUAUGCAUUGAGGAAGUGGGAGUCGACCUUGAACCUUUGUGUUCAUGCCCAUGGACACGAUGUAGAUCCUAACAUGAAAGCUUCUUGUAAUAAUAACUAUUUCCCUGAUAUAAUAUGGUUUGGUAUCGGUGAAUUGAUCCUUUGAAAUCGUGCUUCCGACCAUAUGUUCUUCUUUGAUCCCAUUUCUCGCGCAAGUUUAAGCACUUGUCUUCUGUGGAUCAAUACCCCAGUCCAACCUCUACUUUGAUCUGUCGUCGAGUAUUACCCCCUUGUAUCUCGAGAUUAUCACGAAACUGCAUAACUUCUUAUGAGUUCUUCAUCAAGUACUACAUUCUCACUGAUUCAAUUUUUCACGGGCUCUGAGUUAUUAGACACUCAAAAACACCGAUAAGUGAAUCGGUUCCGCACUCCGAAUCAAUAACUCUAAGUAAUUUUCGUUGCUUACAAGUUUAUUAAUCCUUCAAGUCAUUCCUAACCUGAUCGGCUAUAUCAUUAUCGUGUAAACUUUUAACUAUGCUACCUGGUCCUUCUUCCCGGAGCACAAUUUUUGACCAUGAGCUGAGCUUAUGUCAAUUUUCCUCAUCAUAUCAUUUCGCCUUGAACAGCAAGCUUGAUUUCAAGUUUGUGUCAAGGUUCCAAUAACCUUUCGCUUCAUCAUUCCUUUGACUUAAUGUCGUCGCUGAUUGAUUACAUCUUCAUGAAAUCUCUCGACAAAUGUGUCGUGAUCAUCAUCAACCUUAUGAGCUCUUCCAGGAUAUCAACCGGAUUCAUGAAGAGAAAUACCAUCCUUGCCCUCGAUGAGUUGUGUUAUCAUCGGCCACUUUAUUGCCUUCCCUCCAACACAAACUUGUUCGUGUUUUGUGUUAUACCUUGAGUUCCUUGCUACCCAGCAUUGUUCUUCUUUACCUUGGAGUAUUACUGCCUUUUUGUCAAGGAUGUUGUGAGAAAUUCACCACCCUUAAGAAUUCUUGAUACAAGUGAUACUUAUUAACAUAACCAUUCUUUUCUUGGUCCCCGUGUUGUUUCUAACCGGAAUACCGACAAAUGGUGUGUGAUGUGUAAAUUCUAAACUUCUAGCAACCCUAUUGCUUUGAAGUUAUUGGUCUAUAGUUUCAUUCUACGUCUAUGGCUUAUUGAAUCAUCAUUCGAACAUUGAUCGUGCUACCUAGCCCAUAUUUCGGGUGCACCUUUCAACCAAUGUUUAACUGUGUAUGUUUUCCUCGAGUAUACAUCAUUAAGUCAUUUGAUCUAGCUAAUGCUAUCUCCUUGUUCACAUAGUUGUGGAAAUCCAUCUUUUUGGAAAUAUCAAUGGAUUGUCGCUGAGUCAAUCAGUCACCUCCUCACCUCUCCUUGAUUUAAUGGUGAACCCUUGUUCGGAACUCGCUUCCAUAGUUCCUUUCCCGAGAAUCAUAUAAUGUCGUCUCGUCAAUUGUGUUGCACCUCUUCUUCUCAGGCAUCAUGAGUCUGAGGUAUCCUGACACCAAUCAGAUUUGAAACUUGUCAGAUAUGAUGGUUGGAACAUUUUCCAAGAGUCAUAGCAUUGAUCUUUAUAUAACCCAGUAAGGUGAUAUCAUGCCUAGCGCACCUGGUCGGAGGACCUAUUGUUAUAGUUUUCUUUUAGCAAGGUUAGCCAUUCUUCCAUGAGGAAAUUGUAAGACUUAUUCUAUAAGUUGUUCCCGAUGAAUCCUUUGUAUAUCCAAGUCCAACCUUUGCUUGAAGACCAUGUCAAUACUAUCUCGAAGCAUGUCUGUGGUACUCCGAUUUUCAAUAAGAAUAUUUGAAGCACAAAUGCUAAAUUUUCUUUAUCAAUUACCCUAACACAGUUGUAUGGGUAAUGGCAUGAAAUUUUUCUUUCCUUUCCUAAAGGGUUUUCUACGUAAUAUCUCGUCAUGGAUAUCAUGCUAUGCUUGCCCUUGGGAAGGAUAUACCCCUGAAAUAAGUGUUUAAACACAUUUUCCUUUCCAUUGUUCUGUUUAAUCUGAUGAUCACCUUUUCCUUUCCAUUAUUUUGUUUAAUCUUUCUUGUGAUCUAUAUGAUCUAAGUAGUAAUAAUUCACUGCUUAUGUAAACACCUUGGUGUACUACUCUGUCAAUAAGACCCUGUUACUAUUGUUUAUGACAUUCCGGUAGCCACCGAUGGACGAGAACCUUGCCUGUUGGUCCGCCUCGUUCAACGAGCAGGAAAAUGGUUCUCUUCGUCCCUCGCCCUUGGUACCGACAUUGUUGCCGACAUAACUGAUAGGCUACCCUCUGACAUGUCUUGCUAUCAUGAUCGUGCAAGAUGUCAACGCCCUUCCUACUUUUAACCACAUGGUGGGCCCAUAACCCACAGUUCCACAGGAUCGAAACCUGACUCUCCUGUACACCCAUGUUGCCAAAGUUAUUCCUUGCGCUUGACUUCGUAAGUAAUUCACGGGUCACCUUCCUAGUGCUCUAUUCUGGUAUCAGACGCAAUACUUACUAUCGCUGCUCUGAACCCCUUUUCUCACUCUGGUUCAGACUUUGGCAACUAUCUAUCCGCUUGGAACCUCUUAUUGUACCUUCGUACCUUACUCUCGAUGUAUUUUAUAUGUUCAACUCGAGAGAUAAUCUUAUGCUCAUUCAUGGGUUAACCCCAGAUUGUUUCCCUCAUAAGCAUUCUGUCGUAGCCGAGCUGUCCCUUACCUAUUCGUAAGUACGUUGGAGUUCCCGAAGAAAAGGACGACCUCACCAUGAUGACCUGAAGCAGAGAAAUGAAGACGUCAAUGUAAGGGAUCGACCUCUUCGAGAAGAGCAACCAAGGCCGAGAAGAUUCGUUAGAAUUCGUAACUAGACUUUUCCCCCGUUUUCCACCUCUUAAAUCUCGGGACGAGAUUUCUUGUAGUGGAGGAGAAUUGUGACGCCCGGAUAAUCAAGCUACAGUAACCUCUGCUAAUAAUGCCAUGCCACCUCGAUAACUGUUGCUAAUCUCACGUUAGUUCGAAACCGAUUCAAACUUCAAAUUCAAAAUAAAAGCAAACAUCAAAAGCUUUCAAACAUUAAAACCAAAAUGUUAUUUUGGUUGCAAAUAAUCACUACUGAAUUGUCGUGCAGGAACCAACAUUAAUGAGUUAAUAAAAUGCCAUUAACCUAUUUUUAAAUUAGACCAACAACACUUAAGUGGACCAUGUAAAUUCAAACCGAAUUUUAAAACAUUUCAAAAUAAUCUCAAACUUGGGGAACAACAGCAACAUAUUACCAAGUAUUUGUGUGACAGGUUUCAUAUGCAACUAAAUUCUUUUGUUGGCCCAAAAUAAAUACCAAACGGAGACUAAAAGGAAAACAGAAAAGUUAAAAAUAAAUAAAUAGAAAAGACCCCCCCCCACUAGGCCAAACGGCCCAGCUGGCCGACUAGGCCGCCCACCAGGCCGACCCACCCCUGCCUACACAUGCCCACUCCCCNNNNNNNNNNNNNNNNNNNNNNNNNNNNNNNNNNNNNNNNNNNNNNNNNNNNNNNNNNNNNNAUCCGAUCUGGAUCGGGGAAGGGACCGACGCCGCCCCGGACCGCCAUCGCCCGCCGCCGCCUCCACCUCGUCCAUCGUCGCCUGGAACGCCGCCUCGGCCACCUCGUCGUCUACCCCGCCGGCCUGCUUCCUCUAUGCGCGACAUCCCCGACCUCCACCACGCGCCCCGCUGCCACUCCCCUACCGGCCCCGUGAGCACGCCCUGCGCCCCUCCACUCUCUCCCCUGUCUCCCACGCGCUCGCCGCGGCCCGUGCGCGCCCGCGCACGCAUCGCCUCGGCGACCUCCGCUCGCCCGCGCGUCCCACUGCCCCUGCUCACCCCGCUCCCCUCUCUCACGCGCGCGCACGCAGCCACAACCGCACCCACUCACCUCGUCGCCGCGCCCGCAGCCCCGCUCGCUGCUUCCGCUCACGCGACGUCGCCCCUCACCCGCACGUUCCCGCGCGCCCAUGGUCACGCCUACCUGCUCCGCCACAGCCUCGCGCGGCCCCGUUGCUCGCCCGCACCCCACUGUUGCGCUACUGCGCUGCCGCCGAUGUGCCCGCGCCGUUGCCGCCCUCGACCGCGCGCCCUGCGCGUCCUGGUCGCCCCCCUAUCCCGCGCUCCUCCUCCCCGCGUCGUNNNNNNNNNNNNNNNNNNNNNNNNNNNNNNNNNNNNNNNNNNNNNNNNNNNNNNNNNNNNNNNNNNNNNNNNNNNNNNNNNNNNGCCCACAGCCGCCGCGCUCGACGCCCUACUGCGCCGAUGGCCGCACGCCGCCUUGCCGUCGUCGCGCUGCGCGCGUCGCCUCCACCGUCCGUCCUCGCCGCCGUUUCGCCGUACUGCUGCGGCCGCCGUCGAGGCCGGCGCCCCCCUGGUGGCCUUGGGCCUGCACGCCCGGCGCCCGUAAUUGCGCCCGGGUGCCCGAUGCCCAGUGCCCUUUAGCCUCCCCCAGGGCCUAUGACAAAGGGGGCCUGCCAAGAACGUUUUUAUAAAAAAUUAAUAAUAAUAAUAAUUUUAAUUAAUUAAUUAAUUAACUAAAUUAAUUAUGUUAAUUACCUAUUUAAUUAAUCUAAUUAACCUGUUAGUUUAAUUAAACAGUAAUUAGUUUAACCUAAACCCUAAUUAACCUAACAGUGUAUGACAGGUGGGUCCCACUGGGCCCACACGUCAGUUUGACUAGUCAACACCUCUGUUGACUGCUGACGUCAUGAUGACGUCAGCAAACACUAUUUUGGAUAAUGUUGAAUUAAAUAAAUUAAAUAAAUUCUAAAAGUGAUUUAAAACUUUAGAAAAUUAUAUAAAAUAAACCAUAGCUCAGAUGAAAUACUUUCUACAUGAAAGUUGCUCAGAACGACGUGACGAAUCCGGAUAAGCAGUCCGUUCGUCCGCCACACACCCCUACCAUAUCGAACACGCAACUUUCCCCCUUUGGUUCAUCUGUCCGAAAAUGCGAAAUACCGGGAAUACUUUCCCGGAUGUUUCCCCCCUUCGUCGGUAUCACCUACUACCGCGUUUGGGCACACCUAGCAUCACACUUUGUCAUGCCAUGCAUCGUCAUGCAUUUGUUUGCAUUGUAUUUAUUGUUCCUUCCCCCUCUUCUCUCGCUAGACACCGAGACCGACGCCACUGCUACCCAGUACGACUACGGUGUUGACGACCCCUCCUUCUCGGCUGAGCUUCCAGGCAAGCCGCCCCCCUUGAUCACCAGAUAUCGCCUAUUCUUCUCUAUACUCUUGCAUUAGAGUAGUGUAGCAUGUUGCUGCUUUCCGUUAAUCCUAUUCUGCUGCAUAGCCUGUCUUUGCCACUACUAUUGUUACCUUUACCUGCAAUCCUACAUGCUUAGUAUAGGAUGCUAGUAUUCCAUCCGUGGCCCUACAUUCUUGUCCGUCUGUUGUGCUAUACUAUCGGGCCGUGAUCACUCGGGAGGUGAUCACGGGUAUAUACUAUAUACUUUAUACAUGAUACAUGUGGUGACAAAAGUCGGGUCGGCUCGUGGAGCACCCGCGAGUGAUUCACGGAUUGGGGGCUGAAAGGACUUUUGUCCCGACGGCCCUCUGGGUGGAUCUUUGUGGCGGAGUGACAGGGCAGGUUGAGACCGCCUAGGUGAGAGCUGGGCCUGGCUCUGGUCGGUGUCCGCGGUUACAUCAAUUAACACACUUAACAAGAUCUUGCUAUUUGAUCUGAGUCUGGCCAUUUGGUCUAUACGCACUAACCAACUACGUGGGAAAGAUAUGGGCACUCGACAUCGUGGUAUCAGCCGAAGCCUUCGUGACGUCAGCGACUGAGUGGCGCGCGCCGGGUUGGACCGCGUAACGUGACUUCCUUUGUAAUGGAGGUUGCUAGGUCUGCUCUCCGGCCGCGUACGCAACGUGCAGGUGUGCAAUGGGCGAUGGGCCCAGACCCCUGCGCGCAUAAGAUUUAGACCGGCGUGCUGACCUCUCUGUUGUGCCUAGGUGGGGCUGCGACAUGUUGAUCUUCCGAGGCCAGGCAUGACCCAGGAAAGUGUGUUCGGCCAAAUGGGAUUGAGCGUGUUGGGUUAUGUGUUGCACCCCUGCAGGGAAGUUUAUCUAUUCGAAUAGCCGUGUCCCUCGGUAAAAGGACGACCCGGAGUUGUACCUUGACCUUAUGACAACUAGAACUGGAUACUUAAUAAAACACACCCUUCCAAGUGCCAGAUAUAAUCCGGUGAUCGCUCUCUAACAGGGCGACGAGGAGGGGAUCGCCGGGUAGGAUUAUGCUAUACGAUGCUACUUGGUGAACUUACCAUCUACUCUCUUCUACAUGCUGCAAGAUGGAGGUGGCCAGAAGCGUAGUCUUCGACAGGAUUAGCUAUCCCCCUCUUAUUCUGGCAUUCUGCAGUUCAGUCCACCGAUAUGGCCCUUUACACAUAUACCCAUGCAUAUGUAGUGUAGCUCCUUGCUUGCGUGUACUUUGGAUGAGUACUCACGGUUGCUUUUCUCUCCCUUUUCCCCCUUUCAUUUCUCUCUGGUUGUCACAACCAGAUGUCGGAGCCCAGGAGCCAGACGCCACCAUCGACGACGACUCCUACUACACCGGAGGUGCCUACUACUACGUUCAGGCCGCUGACGACGACCAGGAGUAGUUUAGGAGGAUCCCAGGCAGGAGGCUGCGCCUCUUUCGAUCUGUAUCCCAGUUUGUGCUAGCCUUCUUAAGGCAAACUUGUUUAACUUAUGUCUGUACUCAGAUAUUGUUGCUUCCGCUGACUCGUCUAUGAUCGAGCACUUGUAUUCGAGCCCUCGAGGCCCCUGGCUUGUAUUAUGAUGCUUGUAUGACUUAUUUUAUUUUUAGAGUUGUGUUGUGAUAUCUUCCCGUGAGUCCCUGAUCUUGAUCUUACACGUUUGCGUGUAUGAUUAGUGUAUGAUUGAUCGGGGGCAUCACAUUCCUGCACCCACACACUUCUUCUUCCUCCCAAAAAAAUCACCAUCCAGCUCAAGCACGAGUUCUAGCUCAUUUUGCUGCGAUUUUCGAUCUCCUUGCUCAAAGCACCUCUCACAAAACUGCUUGGGGAGAUUGUUCCUUGAAAUUUUUCAGAGGAAGAAAUAUGCUUAGGAAAAUAUACCAAGGUGGUCCUUCAAGGAAGCAAGGACCCAGGCUCGCAAUGCGCGAUGCCGAUGAUGAGCCACCAAGGAACGCUCCAGUGCGGCCUUGUGAAUGGCCUUCAGAAGGCUUUAUGGAUCAAGCAGGAAUCAAGGAAGAAUUUAACGCGUAUUUGCGUAACGCUGAUCUUGUGAGCUUCGAGGGAGAAAAGUGCCGCCAGUACCACUAUCUCACUAGUUCAUUUGUGAGGAGGUUUGAAUUUUCAUCUUCACGCAAUUCUCAAACUGUUCUGUUUGAUCUCUAUGAAAAAUCUUACACUAUGGACUUAGAGGAUUUUACUACUGCUUACAAACUUCCACAAUGGGGUAGUACUAGUGAACCUCGCAAAUCUGAAUUUAGAGAAUUUCUUGCUAGUAUAACUGUGGGGGAAUCUAGAGACAUAACACAAGCUACAAUAGGGAGUAUUCAUUUUCCUGCUAUACAUUAUUUUGCUCUCUUCAUAGGUAGGUGCAUAGAUGGUAAAGAUGAAGCAUGUCAUAUGUGUGUCCCUGACCUCAGUAUUCUUAGGAGUGCUGUGUUAGGAGACAAAUCUUAUAAUUUGGGAGCCAUUGUUGCGCAUAGGUUGCAUCACAAUAGAUUUAAUGGAGAUUUCUUUGGUGGAAUUAAUGCAACCCGCUUAGCUGAUUUUCUUGGUGUAACCAUACGUGAUGAUGAUAUUGAACUGCCUCCUACUUAUCUAGACUUUAAUGCUAUGGUUCAUCAUCAGGUUGUCAAGAGGAAUGAACCACCUCUCCAGUACAGACUAAUCUUUGACAGGCAUCACGCCGUCAAUAUUGUUCUUCCUGCCCCUACUCUCUUUGACUUUCAGGAAAAAGGUAGACAUUACAUAACCAGAGAGGAGGCGGAGGAGUAUAGGAGGAGGACUGAGAUAGCUCGCCUCCAAGCUGCAGCACACGAUGCAAUGACCGCUGCAUCUCAGUACGACCCCGGUUAUAACUUUGGAUAUCCGCCAGGCCACCCGUGGCAAUAAACCAACUUAGGCCAAAAGCCUAAGCUUGGGGGAGUACGUAUUUCUCACCGACAUUACAUUCAUGUUCACACACUCAUUGCUAGAUGUCGGUGCCCAUACUCUUUCACUGUAAUAUCCAUGCUAGUUUAUUUUCCUUUUUCUUGCUUUCUUCUUGUGUGUUUAAUAAACCUUAAGAAAAACCAAAAAAAUUAGUGUAGCUUUUAGUUAGUUUACUUUUCUUGUUGUAGUAGUAAUAAUUAAAAAUAAAACCCAAAAAGAUUUCCCAUUCUUCUUUUGCUUGUUGGGAGCUUUCCCGUGUAAAUAGUUUUAUUUCUUUUCUUUUCUUUGGGGGUCGAUAGGAGAAGACCAUGAUUAAAAUUGUUGAAGUGGAUCUUAUAUGCAUUAUUGUUGAUUUAACCAAGAGUCCAUAUUGCCUUGUCUUCUCCUGUUUAUUGAAUGCUCGCAGAUUCCAGCUUAGUCCAAUGCACGUGCACUCUUAUUAUUUUCACAUCGUUCGGUCGUGCAAGUGAAAGGCAAUUAUGACGAUGGACUGACUGAGAUGAGAGAAGCUGGUAUGAACUCGACCUCUCUUGUUUUUGUAAAUAUGAUUAGUUCAUCGUUCCUGAUUCAGCCUAUUAUGAAUAAACAUGUUUGCAAUGACAAUAAGAGAUUAUAGUUGCUUAUGCCAUGCUUAAUUAGCUAGGAGUUUAUAAUGGUUUACCUUGCGUGCCAACAUGCUAUUAAAAUGGUUGUGAUGUGGUAUGAUGGGGUAGUAUCCUCCUUUGAAUGAUUUAAGUGACUUGACUUGGCACAUGUUCACGCAUGUAGUUGAAACAAAUCAACAUAGCCUUCACGAUAUUUAUGUUCAUGGUGGAUUAUAUCCUACUCAUGCUUGUACUCAAUGUUUAUUAAUUCUAAUGCAUGUUCAUGACUGUUGUCGCUCUCUAGUUGGUCGCUUCCCAGUCUUUUGCUAGCCUUCACUUGUACUAAGCAGGAAUACUGCUUGUGCAUCCAAUCCCUUAAACCCCAAAGUUAUUCCAUAUGAGUCCACCAAUACCUUCCUAUAUGCGGUAUCUCCCUGCCGUUCCAAGUAAAUUUGUAUGUGCCAAACUCUAAACCUUCAAAUGAAAUUCUGUUUUGUAUGCUCGAAUAGCUCAUGUAUCAACUAGGGCUGUCCGUAUCUUCCAUGUUAGGCGGGUUAUUCUCAAGAGGAGUGGACUCCGCUCCUCACUCACGAGAAAAUGGCUGGUCACCGGGAUGCCCAGUCCCAUGCUUUAUGCAAACUAAAUCAAAAUAAUUGCAAACAAAACUCCCCCUGGGACUGUUGUUAGUUGGAGGCACUCGUUGUUUCGAGCAAGCCAUGGAUUGAUGCUUGUUGGUGGAGGGGGAGUAUAAACUUUACCAUUUUGUUUAGGAACCGCCUAUAAUGUGUGUAGCAUGGAAGAUAUCGCCAUCUCUCGGUUGUUAUGUUGACAAUGAAAGUAUGCCGCUCAAAAUAUUAUUUAUCUCUGCUUUAAAAUCGAGCUCUGGCACCUCUACAAAUCCCUGCUUCCCUCUUCGAAGGGCCUAUCUAUUUAAUUUUAUGUUGAGUCAUCACCCUCUUAUCAUAAGCACCGGCUGGAGAGCACCGUUGUCAUUUGCAUUCAUUGCUAUUAAUUUAUAUUGGGUAUGACUAUGACUGGAUCUCUUAUACCAUGAAUUACAAUGUCUAGUCAGUCCUUGAUCUUUAAAGGUGCUCUGCAUUUAUGUUUUGUGGUCUCAGAAAGGGCUAGCGAGAUACCAUCCUGUUAUAUCAUAUUAUGAUUGUUUUGAGAAAGUGUUGUCAUCCGAGAUUUAUUAUUAUUGCUCGCUAGUCGAUUAUGCCAUUGAUAUGAGUAAACAUGAGACCUAAGAGUUAUUGUGAAUGUGGUUAGUCAUAAUCUUUGCUGAAAACUUGAAUGCUGGCUUUACAUAUUUAUAACAACAAGAGCAAACAGAGUUUGUAAAAGUUUUUCUUUAUCACUUUCAGUUUAUCAACUGAAUUGCUUGAGGACAAGCAAAGGUUUAAGCUUGGGGGAGUUGAUACGUCUCCGUCGUAUCUACUUUUCCAAACACUUUUGCCCUUGUUUUGGACUCUAACUUGCAUGAUUUGAAUGGAACUAACCCGGACUGACGCUGUUUUCAGCAGAAUUGCCAUUGUGUUAUUUAUGUGCAGAAACAAAAGUUCUCGGAAUGACCUGAAACUCCACAGAACUUAUUUUCGGAAAAUAAUAAAAAUACUGGAAGAAGAAUCCACGUCAGGGGGGCCUCCACCUGUCCACGAGGGUGGGGGCACGCCUGCCCCCCUGGACGCGCCCCCUGCCUCGUGGGCCCCCUGACGCUCCACCGACCUCAACUCCAACUCCAUAUAUUCGUGUUCGGGGAGAAAAAAAUCAGAGAGAUGGAUUCAUCGCGUUUUAGAGGGCUGAUCUAGAGUCCGUUCGGGGCUCCGGAGAGGGGAAUCCGUCGCCGUCGUCAUCAUCAACCAUCCUCCAUCACCAAUUUCAUGAUGCUCACCGCCGUGUGUGAGUAAUUCCAUCACAGGCUUGCUGGACGGUGAAGGGUUGGAUGAGAUUUAUCAUGUAAUCGAGUUAGUUUUGUUAGGGUUUGAUCCCUAGUAUCCACUAUGUUCUGAGAUUGAUGUUGCUAUGACUUUGCUAUGCUUAAUGCUUGUCACUAGGGCCCGAGUGCCAUGAUUUCAGAUCUGAACCUAUUAUGUUUUCAUGAAUAUAUGUGAGUUCUUGAUCCUAUCUUGCAAGUCUAUAGUCACCUACUAUGUGUUAUGAUCCGGCAACCCCGAAGUGACAAUAAUCAGGACCACUCCCGGUGAUGACCAUACUUUGAGGAGUUCAUGUAUUCACUAUGUGUUAAUGCUUUGGUCUGGUACUCUAUUAAAAGGAGGCCUUAAUAUCCCUUAGUUUCCAUUAGGACCCCGCUGCCAUGGGAGGGUAGGACAAAAGAUGUCAUGCAAGUUCUUUUCCAUAAGCACGUAUGACUAUAUUCGGAAUACAUGCCUACAUUACAUUGAUGAAUUGGAGCUAGUUCUGUGACACCCUAUGUUAUGACUGUUACAUGAUGAACCGCACCCGGCAUAAUUCUCCAUCACCGAUCCAAUGCCUACGAGCUUUUCACAUAUUGUUCUUCGCUUAUUUACUUUUCUGUUGCUACUGUUACAAUCACUACAAAACCCAAACAUAUUACUUUUGCUACCGUUACCGUUACUUCCACACUACUUUGCUACUAAAUACUUUGUUGCAGAUACUAAGUUAUCCAGGUGUGGUUGAAUUGACAACUCAACUGCUAAUACUUGAGAAUAAUCUUUGGCUCCCCUUGUGUCGAAUCAAUAAAUUUGGGUUGAAUACUCUACCCUCGAAAACGGUUGCGAUCCCCUAUACUUGUGGGUUAUCAAUGGUUUUAGGGUAUAUGGAGAUAUAUAGGCGAAGAAGUCGGUAAGGGGAGCCACAAGGAGCCCACGAGGGUGGAGGGCGCGCCCAGGGGGUAGGCGCGCCCCCUGCCUCGUGCUCUCCUCGUUGAUCCCCUGACGUGCACUCCAAGUCUCCCGGAUUGCGUUCUUUCAAAAAAUAACUCUCCCGAAGGUUUCAUUCUGUUUGGACUCUGUUUGAUAUUCCUUUUCUGCGAAACACUGAAAUAAGGGGAAAAACAUGAACUGGCACUGGGCUCUGGGUUAAUAGGUUAGUCCCAAAAAUAAUAUAAAAGUGUUUAAUAAAUUCCAUUAAACAUCCAAAAGAGAUAAUAUAAUAGCAUGGAACAAUAAAAAAUUAUAGAUACGUUGGAGACGUAUCAGCAUCCUCAAGCUUAAUUCCUGCUCGUCCUCGAGUAGGUAAAUGAUAAAAACAGAAUUUUUGAUGUGGAAUGCUACCUAACAUAUUUAUCAAUGUAAUCUUCUAUAUUGUGGCAAGAAUAUUCAGAUCCAUAAGAUUCAAAACAAAAGUUUAAUAUUGACAUAAAAAUAAUAAUACUUCAAGCAUCCUAACAAAGUAAUCAUGUCUCCUCAAAAUAACAUGGCCAAAGCAAGCUAUCCCUACAAAAUCAUAUAGUCUGGCUAUGCUCUAUCUUCAUCACACAAAAUAUUUAAAUCAUGGACAACCCCGAUGACAAGCCAAGCAAUUGUUUCAUACUUUUGAUGUUCUCAAACUUUUUCAAUCUUCACGCAAUACAUGAGCGUGAGCCAUGGACAUAGCACUAUAGGUGGAAUAGAAUGGUAGUUGUGGAGAAGACAAAAAGGAGAAGAUGUUGGGAAUCGUAGCAUAAUUUAAAAUUUUCCUACGCUCACCAAGAUGCAUCUAUGGAGUCUACUAGCAACGAGGGGAAAGGAGUGGAUCUACAUACCCUUGUAGAUCGCGAGCGGAAGCGUUCCAAUGAACGUGGAUGACGGAGUCGUACUCGCCGUGAUCCAAAUCACCGAUGACCGAGUGCCGAACGGACGGCACCUCCGCGUUCAACACACGUACAGUGCAGCGACGUCUCCUCCUUUCUUGAUCCAGCAAGGGGGGAGGAGAGGUUGAUGGAGAUCCAACAGCACGACGGCGUGGUGGUGGAUGUAGCGGCUCUCCGGCAGGGCUUCGCCGAGCUUCUGCGCGCGAGAGAGAGGUGUUGCAGGGGAGGAGGGAGGCGCCAAAGGCUGUAGUGUGCUGCCCUCCCUCCCCCCCCCUUUAUAUAGGCCCCCAAGGGGGGUGCGCAGCCCUUGGAGAUGGGAUCUCCAAGGGGGGGGCGGCGCCCAAGGGGGAAGGGGUUGCCUUGCCCCCCAAGGCAAGGGGAAACUCCCCCCCUAGGGUUCCCAACCCUAGGCGCAUGGGGGGGAGGCCCAAAGUGGCGCCCCAGCCCAUUAGGGGCUGGUUCCCCUCCACUUUCAGCCCACGGGGCCCUCCGGGACAGGUGGCCCCACCCGGUGGACCCCCGGGACCCUUCCGGUGGUCCCGGUACAAUACCGAUAACCCCCGAAACUUUCCCGGUGGCCAAAACUGGACUUCCUAUAUAUAAUUCUUCACCUCCGGACCAUUCCGGAACCUCUCGUGAUGUCCGGGAUCUCAUCCGGGACUCCGAACAACUUUCGGGUUUCCGCAUACAUAUAUCUCUACAACCCUAGCGUCACCGGACCUUAAGUGUGUAGACCCUACGGGUUCGGGAGACAUGCAGACAUGACCGAGACGCCUCUCCGGUCAAUAACCAACAGCGGGAUCUGGAUACCCAUGUUGGCUCCCACAUGUUCCACGAUGAUAUCAUCGGGUGAACCACGGUGUCGAGGAUUCAAUCAAUCCGUAUGCAAUUCCCUUUGUCAAUCGGUAUGUUACUUGCCCGAGAUUCGAUCGUCGGUAUCCCAAUACCUAGUUCAAUCUCGUUAUCGGCAAGUCUCUUUACUCGUACCGCAAUGCAUGAUCCCGUGACUAACGCCUUAGUCACAUUGAGCUCAUUAUGAUGAUGCAUUACCGAGUGGGCCCAGAGAUACCUCUCCGUUUACACGGAGUGACAAAUCCCAGUCUCGAUCCGUGCCAACCCAACAGACACUUUCGGAGAUACCCGUAAUGCACCUUUAUAGUCACCCAGUUACGUUGUGACGUUUGGCACACCCAAAGCACUCCUACGGUAUCCGGGAGUUGCACGAUCUCAUGGUCUAAGGAAAAGAUACUUGACAUUGGAAAAGCUCUAGCAAACGAAACUACACGAUCUUUUAUGCUAUGCUUAAGUUGGGUCUUGUCCAUCACAUCAUUCUCCUAAUGAUGUGAUCCCGUUAUCAAUGACAUCCUAUGUCCAUAGUCAGGAAACCAUGACUAUCUGUUGAUCAACGAGCUAGUCAACUAGAGGCUUACUAGGGACAGGUUGUGGUCUAUGUAUUCACACAUGUAUUACGAUUUCCGGACAAUACAAUUAUAGCAUGAAUAAAAGACUAUUAUCAUGAACACAGAAAUAUAAUAAUAACCAUUUAUUAUUGCCUCUAGGGCAUAUUUCCAACAGAUCGUAUCUUCUAUACGACUCAUGCUCGACCUUUCGGUCCUCCGUGUUCCGAGGCCAUGUCUGUACAUUCUAGGCUCGUCAAGUCAACCUAAGUGUAUUGCGUGUGUUCCGAGGCCAUGUCUGUACAUGCUAGGCUCGUCAACACCCGUUGUAUUCGAACGUUAGAAUCUAUCACACCCGAUCAUCACGUGGUGCUUCGAAACAACGAACCUUCGCAACGGUGCACAGUUAGGGUGAACACUUUCUUGAAAUUAUUAUAAGGGAUCAUCUUACUUACUACCGUCGUUCUAAGCAAAUAAGAUGCAAAAACAUGAUAAACAUCACAUGCAAUCAAAUAGUGACAUGAUAUGGCCAAUAUCAUCAUGCUCCUUUGAUCUCCAUCUUCGGGGCACCAUGAUCAUCUUCGUCACCGGCAUGACACCAUGAUCUCCAUCAUCAUGAUCUCCAUCAUUGUGUCUUCAUGAAGUCGUCACGCCAACGAUUACUUCUACUUCUAUGGCUAACGCGUUUAGCAACAGAGUAAAGUAAUUUACAUGGCGUUAUUCAAUGACACGCAGGUCAUGCAAAAUAAUAAAGACAACUCCUAUGGCUCCUGCCGGUUGUCAUACUCAUCGACAUGCAAGUCGUGAUUCCUAUUACAAGAAUAUGAUCAAUCUCAUACAUCAUAUAUAUCAUUCAUCACAUCUUCUGGCCAUAUCACAUCACAUAGCACUUGCUGCAAAAACAAGUUAGACGUCCUCUAAUUGUUGUUGCAAGUUUUUACGUGGUUUGUAGGUUUCUAGCAAGAACGUUUUCUUACCUACGUAUGACCACAACGUGAUUUGCCAAUUUCUAUUUACCCUUCAUAAGGACCCUUUUCAUCGAAUCCAUUCCGACUAAAGUAGGAGAGACAGACACCCGCUAGCCACCUUAUGCAACUAGUGCAUGUCAGUCGGUGGAACCUGUCUCACGUAAGCGUACGUGUAAGGUCGGUCCGGGCCGCUUCAUCCUACAAUGCCGCCGAAACAAGAAACGACUAGUAGCGGCAAGAAGAAUUGGCAACAUCAACGCCCACAACUUCUUUGUGUUCUACUCGUGCAUAGUAACUACGCAUAGGCCUGGCUCAUGAUGCCACUGUUGGGAAUCGUAGCAUAAUUUAAAAUUUUCCUACGCUCACCAAGAUGCAUCUAUGGAGUCUACUAGCAACGAGGGGAAAGGAGUGGAUCUACAUACCCUUGUAGAUCGCGAGCGGAAGCGUUCCAAUGAACGUGGAUGACGGAGUCGUACUCGCCGUGAUCCAAAUCACCGAUGACCGAGUGCCGAACGGACGGCACCUCCGGGUUCAACACACGUACGGUGCAGCGACGUCUCCUCAUUUCUUGAUCCAGCAAGGGGGGAGGAGAGGUUGAUGGAGAUCCAACAGCACGACGGCGUGGUGGUGGAUGUAGCGGCUCUCCGGCAGGGCUUCGCCGAGCUUCUGCGCGCGAGAGAGAGGUGUUGCAGGGGAGGAGGGAGGCGCCAAAGGCUGUAGUGUGCUGCCCUCCCUCCCCCCCCUUUAUAUAGGCCCCCAAGGGGGGUGCGCAGCCCUUGGAGAUGGGAUCUCCAAGGGGGGGGCGGCGCCCAAGGGGGAAGGGGUUGCCUUGCCCCCCAAGGCAAGGGGAAACUCCCCCCCCCCUAGGGUUCCCAACCCUAGGCGCAUGGGGGGGAGGCCCAAAGUGGUGCCCCAGCCCAUUAGGGGCUGGUUCCCCUCCACUUUCAGCCCACGGGGCCCUCCGGGACAGGUGGCCCCACCCGGUGGACCCCCGGGACCCUUCCGGUGGUCCCGGUACAAUACCGAUAACCCCCGAAACUUUCCCGGUGGCCAAAACUGGACUUCCUAUAUAUAAUUCUUCACCUCCGGACCAUUCCGGAACCUCUCGUGACGUCCGGGAUCUCAUCCGGGACUCCGAACAACUUUCGGGUUUCCGCAUACAUAUAUCUCUACAACCCUAGCGUCACCGGACCUUAAGUGUGUAGACCCUACGGGUUCGGGAGACAUGCAGACAUGACCGAGACGCCUCUCCGGUCAAUAACCAACAGCGGGAUCUGGAUACCCAUGUUGGCUCCCACAUGUUCCACGAUGAUAUCAUCGGGUGAACCACAGUGUCGAGGAUUCAAUCAAUCCGUAUGCAAUUCCCUUUGUCAAUCGGUAUGUUACUUGCCCGAGAUUCGAUCGUCGGUAUCCCAAUACCUAGUUCAAUCUCGUUACCGGCAAGUCUCUUUACUCGUACCGCAAUGCAUGAUCCCGUGACUAACGCCUUAGUCACAUUGAGCUCAUUAUGAUGAUGCAUUACCGAGUGGGCCCAGAGAUACCUCUCCGUGUACACGGAGUGACAAAUCCCAGUCUCGAUCCGUGCCAACCCAACAGACACUUUCGGAGAUACCCGUAAUGCACCUUUAUAGUCACCCAGUUACGUUGUGACGUUUGGCACACCCAAAGCACUCCUACGGUAUCCGGGAGUUGCACGAUCUCAUGGUCUAAGGAAAAGAUACUUGACAUUGGAAAAGCUCUAGCAAACGAAACUACACGAUCUUUUAUGCUAUGCUUAAGUUGGGUCUUGUCCAUCACAUCAUUCUCCUAAUGAUGUGAUCCCGUUAUCAAUGACAUCCUAUGUCCAUAGUCAGGAAACCAUGACUAUCUGUUGAUCAACGAGCUAGUCAACUAGAGGCUUACUAGGGACAAGUUGUGGUCUAUGUAUUCACACAUGUAUUACGAUUUCCGGACAAUACAAUUAUAGCAUGAAUAAUAGACUAUUAUCAUGAACACAGAAAUAUAAUAAUAACCAUUUAUUAUUGCCUCUAGGGCAUAUUUCCAACAGUCUCCCACUUGCACUAGAGUCAAUAAUCUAGUUACAUUGUGAUGAAUCGAACACCCAUUGCGUCCUGGUGUUGAUCAUGUUUUGCCCUAGGGAGAGGUUUAGUCAACGGAUCUGCUACAUUCAGGUCCGUGUGUACUUUACAAAUAUCUAUGUCUCCAUUUUGAACACUUUCACGAAUGGAGUUGAAGCGACGCUUGAUAUGCCUGGUCUUCCUGUGAAACCUGGGCUCCUUCGCAAGGGCAAUAGCUCCAGUGUUGUCACAGAAGAGAGUCAUUGGGCCCGACGCAUUGGGAAUCACCCCUAGGUCGGUAAUGAACUCCUUCAUCCAGACUGCUUCCUGUGCUGCCUCCGAGGCUGCCAUGUAUUCCGCUUCACAUGUAGAUCCCGCCACGACGCUUUGCUUGCAACUGCACCAGCUUACUGCUCCUCUAUUCAAAAUAUACACGUAUCCGGUCUGUGACUUCGAGUCAUCCGGAUCUGUGUCGAAGCUAGCAUCGACGUAACCCUUUACGACGAGCUCUUCGUCACCUCCAUAGACGAGAAACAUAUCCUUAGUCCUCUUCAGGUACUUCAGGAUAUUCUUGACCGCUGUCCAGUGUUCCUUGCCGGGAUUACUUUGGUACCUUCCUACCAAACUUACGGCAAGGUUUACAUCAGGUCUGGUACACAGCAUGGCAUACAUAAUAGACCCUAUGGCCGAGGCAUAGGGGAUGACACUCAUCUCUUCUAUAUCUUCUGCCGUGGUCGGGCAUUGAGCCGUGCUCAAUUGCACACCUUGCAAUACAGGCAAGAACCCCUUCUUGGACUGAUCCAUACUGAACUUCUUCAAUAUCUUGUCAAGGUAUGUACUCUGUGAAAGACCAAUGAGGCGUCUUGAUCUAUCUCUAUAGAUCUUGAUGCCUAAUAUAUAAGCAGCUUCUCCAAGGUCCUUCAUUGAAAAACAUUUAUUCAAAUAGGCCUUUAUACUUUCCAAGAAUUCUAUAUCAUUUCCCAUCAAUAAUAUGUCAUCCACAUAUAAUAUGAGAAAUGCUACAGAGCUCCCACUCACUUUGUUGUAAACACAGGCUUCUCCAUAAGUCUGUGUAAACCCAAACGCUUUGAUCAUCUCAUCAAAGCGAAUGUUCCAACUCCGAGAUGCUUGCACCAGCCCAUAGAUUGAGCGCUGGAGCUUGCAUACUUUGUUAGCAUUCUUAGGAUCGACAAAACCUUCCGGCUGCAUCAUAUACAACUCUUCCUUAAGGAAGCCGUUAAGGAAUGCCGUUUUGACGUCCAUCUGCCAUAUCUCAUAAUCAUAGUAUGCGGCAAUUGCUAACAUGAUUCGGACGGACUUCAGCUUCGCUACGGGUGAGAAAGUCUCAUCGUAGUCAACCCCUUGAACUUGUCGAUAACCCUUAGCGACAAGUCGAGCUUUGUAGAUGGUCACAUUACCAUCUGCGUCCGUCUUCUUCUUAAAGAUCCAUUUGUUUUCUAUGGCUCGCCGCUCAUCGGGCAAGUCAGUCAAAGUCCAUACUUUGUUUUUACAUGGAUUCUAUCUCGGAUUUCAUGGCUUCUAGCCAUUUGUCGGAAUCCGGGCCCGCCAUCGCUUCUUCAUAGUUCGAAGGUUCACCGUUGUCUAACAACAUGAUUUCCAGGACAGGGUUGCCGUACCACUCUGGUGCGGAACGUGUCCUUGUGGACCUACGAAGUUCAGUAACUUGAUCUGAAGUUUCAUGAUCAUCAUCAUUAACUUCCUCCCCAGUCGGUGCAGGCACCACAGGAACAUUUUCCCGCGCUGCGCUACUUUCCGGUUCGGAAGGGGUGACUAUCACCUCAUCAAGUUCCACUUUCCUCCCACUCAAUUCUUUCGAGAGAAACUCCUUCUCUAGAAAGGACCCGUUCUUGGCAACGAAGAUCUUGCCUUCGGAUCUGAGGUAGAAGGUAUACCCAAUAGUUUCCUUAGGGUAUCCUAUGAAGACGCAUUUUUCCGAUUUGGGUUCGAGCUUUUCAGGUUGAAGUUUCUUGACAUAAGCAUCGCAUCCCCAAACUUUUAGAAACGACAGCUUAGGUUUCUUCCCAAACCAUAAUUCAUACGGUGUCGUCUCAACGGAUUUAGACGGUGCCCUAUUUAAAGUGAAUGCGGCAGUCUCUAAAGCAUAACCCCAAAAUGAGAGCGGUAAAUCGGUAAGAGACAUCAUAGAUCGCACCAAAUCCAAUAGAGUGCGAUUACGACGUUCGGACACACCAUUUCUCUGAGGUGUUCCAGGCGGCGUGAGUUGUGAAACUAUUCCACAUUUCCUUAAGUGUGUACCAAAUUCGUGACUUAAAUAUUCUCCACCACGAUCUGAUCGUAAGAAUUUUAUUUUCCUGUCACGUUGAUUCUCGACUUCACUCUGAAAUUCCUUGAACUUUUCAAAGGUUUCAGACUUGUGUUUCAUUAGGUAGACAUACCCAUAUCUACUUAAAUCAUCAGUGAGAGUGAGAACAUAACGAUAUCCUCCGCGAGCCUCAACACUCAUUGGACCGCACACAUCGGUAUGUAUGAUUUCCAAUAAGUUGGUUGCUCGCUCCAUUGUUCCGGAGAACGGAGUCUUGGUCAUCUUACCCAUGAGGCAUGGUUCGCACGUGUCAAAUGAUUCGUAAUCAAGAGACUCCAAAAGUCCAUCUGUAUGGAGCUUCUUCAUGCGCUUGACACCAAUGUGACCAAGGCGGCAGUGCCACAAGUAUGUGGGACUAUCGUUAUCAACUUUACAUCUUUUGGUAUUCACACUAUGAAUAUGUGUAACAUCACGUUCGAGAUUCAUCAAGAAUAAACCAUUGACCAGCGGGGCAUGACCAUAAAACAUAUCUCUCAAAUAAAUAGAACAACCAUUAUUCUCGGAUUUAAAUGAGUAGCCAUCUCGAAUUAAACGAGAUCCAGAUACAAUGUUCAUGCUCAAAGCUGGCACUAAAUAACAAUUAUUGAGGUUUAAAACUAAUCCUGUAGGUAGAUGCAGAGGUAGCGUGCCGACGGCGAUCACAUCGACCUUGGAACCAUUCCCGACGCGCAUCGUCACCUCGUCCUUCGCCAGUCUCCGUUUAUUCCGUAGUUCCUGUUUUGAGUUACAAAUAUGAGCAACCGCACCGGUAUCAAAUACCCAGGAGCUACUACGAGUACUGGUAAGGUACACAUCAAUUACAUGUAUAUCACAUAUACCUUUGGUGUUGCCGGCCUUCUUGUCCGGUAAGUAUUUGGGGCAGUUCCGCUUCCAGUGACCACUUCCCUUGCAAUAAAAGCACUCAGUUUCAGGCUUGGGUCCAUUCUUCAACUUCUUCCCAGUAACUGGCUUACCGGGCGCGGCAACUCCCUUGCCGUCCUUCUUGAAGUUCUUCUUACCCUUGCCCUUCUUGAACUUAGUGGUUUUAUUCACCAUCAACACUUGAUGUUCUUUUCUGAUCUCCACCUCCGCUGAUUUCAGCAUUGAAUAUACCUCAGGAAUGGUCUUUUCCAUCCCCUGCAUAUUGAAGUUCAUCACAAAGCUCUUGUAGCUUGGUGGAAGCGACUGGAGGAUUCUGUCAAUGACCGCGUCAUCCGGGAGAUUAACUCCCAGCUGAGUCAAGCGGUUGUGCAACCCAGACAUUCUGAGUAUGUGCUCACUAACAGAACUGUUCUCCUCCAUUUUACAGCUGAAGAACUUGUCGGAGACAUCAUAUCUCUCGACCCGGGCAUGAGCUUGAAAAACCAGUUUCAGCUCCUCGAACAUCUCAUAUGCUCCAUGUUUCUCAAAACGCUUUUGGAGACCCGGUUCUAAGCUAUAAAGCAUGCCGCACUGAACGAGGGAGUAAUCAUCAGCACGCUGCUGCCAAGCGUUCAUAACGUCUUGGUUCUCAGGGAUUGGUGCUUCACCUAGCGGUGCUUCUAAGACAUAAUCUUUCUUGGCUGCUAUGAGGAUGAUCCUCAGGUUCCGGACCCAGUCCGUAUAGUUGCUGCCAUCAUCUUUCAGCUUGGUUUUCUCUAGGAACGCGUUGAAAUUGAGGACAACGUGGGCCAUUUGAUCUACAAUACAUAGUGUAAAGAUUUUUUAGACUAAGUUCAUGAUAAUUAUGUUCAUAUAAUCAAAUUAUUUAAUGAACUCCCACUCAGAUAGACAUCCCUCUAGUUAUCUAAGUGAAACAUGAUCCGAACUCAACUAGGCCGUGUCCGAUCAUCACGUGAGACGGACUAGUCAAGAUCGGUGAACAUCUCCAUGUUGAUCGUAUCUUCUAUACGACUCAUGCUCGAACUUUCGGUCCUCCGUGUUCCGAGGCCAUGUCUGUACAUGCUAGGCUCGUCAAGUCAACCUAAGUGUAUUCCGUGUGUUCCGAGGCCAUGUCUGUACAUGCUAGGCUCGUCAACACCCGUUGUAUGCGAACGUAAGAAUCUAUCACACCCGAUCAUCACGUGGUGCUUCGAAACGACGAACCUUCGCAACGGUGCACAGUUAGGGUGAACACUUUCUUGAAAUUAUUAUAAGGGAUCAUCCUACUUGCUACCGUCGUACUAAGCAAAUAAGAUGCAAAAACAUGAUAAACAUCACAUGCAAUCAAAUAGUGACAUGAUAUGGCCAAUAUCAUCAUGCUCCUUUGAUCUCCAUCUUCGGGGCACCAUGAUCAUCUUUGUCACCGGCAUGACACCAUGAUCUCCAUCAUCAUGAUCUCCAUCAUUGUGUCUUCAUGAAGUUGUCACGCCAACGAUUACUUCUACUUCUAUGGCUAACCGUUUAGCAACAAAGUAAAGUAAAUUACAUGGCGUUAUUCAAUGACACGCAGGUCAUGCAAAAUAAUAAAGACAACUCCUAUGGCUCCUGCCGGUUGUCAUACUCAUCGACAUGCAAGUCGUGAUUCCUAUUACAAGAAUAUGAUCAAUCUCAUACAUCACAUAUAUCAUUCAUCACAUCUUCUGGCCAUAUCAUAUCACAUAUAUCACUUGCUGCAAAAACAAGUUAGACGUCCUCUAAUUGUUGUUGCAAGUUUUUACGUGGUUUGUAGGUUUCUAGCAAGAACGAUUUCUUACCUACGUAUGACCACAACGCGAUUUGCCAAUUUCUAUUUACCCUUCAUAAGGACCCUUUUCAUCGAAUCCGUUCCGACUAAAGUAGGAGAGACAGACACCCGCUAGCCACCUUAUGCAACUAGUGCAUGUCAGUCGGUGGAACCUGUCUCACGUAAGCGUACGUGUAAGGUCGGUCCGGGCCGCUUCAUCCUACAAUGCCGCCGAAACAAGAAACGACUAGUAGCGGCAAGAAGAAUUGGCAACAUCAACGCCCACAACUUCUUUGUGUUCUACUCGUGCAUAGUAACUACGCAUAGGCCUGGCUCAUGAUGCCACUGUUGGGAAUCGUAGCAUAAUUUAAAAUUUUCCUACGCUCACCAAGAUGCAUCUAUGGAGUCUACUAGCAACGAGGGGAAAGGAGUGGAUCUACAUACCCUUGUAGAUCGCGAGCGGAAGCGUUCCAAUGAACGUGGAUGACGGAGUCGUACUCGCCGUGAUCCAAAUCACCGAUGACCGAGUGCCGAACGGACGGCACCUCCGGGUUCAACACACGUACGGUGCAGCGACGUCUCCUCAUUUCUUGAUCCAGCAAGGGGGGAGGAGAGGUUGAUGGAGAUCCAACAGCACGACGGCGUGGUGGUGGAUGUAGCGGCUCUCCGGCAGGGCUUCGCCGAGCUUCUGCGCGCGAGAGAGAGGUGUUGCAGGGGAGGAGGGAGGCGCCAAAGGCUGUAGUGUGCUGCCCUCCCUCCCCCCCCUUUAUAUAGGCCCCCAAGGGGGGUGCGCAGCCCUUGGAGAUGGGAUCUCCAAGGGGGGGGCGGCGCCCAAGGGGGAAGGGGUUGCCUUGCCCCCCAAGGCAAGGGGAAACUCCCCCCCCCCUAGGGUUCCCAACCCUAGGCGCAUGGGGGGGAGGCCCAAAGUGGUGCCCCAGCCCAUUAGGGGCUGGUUCCCCUCCACUUUCAGCCCACGGGGCCCUCCGGGACAGGUGGCCCCACCCGGUGGACCCCCGGGACCCUUCCGGUGGUCCCGGUACAAUACCGAUAACCCCCGAAACUUUCCCGGUGGCCAAAACUGGACUUCCUAUAUAUAAUUCUUCACCUCCGGACCAUUCCGGAACCUCUCGUGACGUCCGGGAUCUCAUCCGGGACUCCGAACAACUUUCGGGUUUCCGCAUACAUAUAUCUCUACAACCCUAGCGUCACCGGACCUUAAGUGUGUAGACCCUACGGGUUCGGGAGACAUGCAGACAUGACCGAGACGCCUCUCCGGUCAAUAACCAACAGCGGGAUCUGGAUACCCAUGUUGGCUCCCACAUGUUCCACGAUGAUAUCAUCGGGUGAACCACAGUGUCGAGGAUUCAAUCAAUCCGUAUGCAAUUCCCUUUGUCAAUCGGUAUGUUACUUGCCCGAGAUUCGAUCGUCGGUAUCCCAAUACCUAGUUCAAUCUCGUUACCGGCAAGUCUCUUUACUCGUACCGCAAUGCAUGAUCCCGUGACUAACGCCUUAGUCACAUUGAGCUCAUUAUGAUGAUGCAUUACCGAGUGGGCCCAGAGAUACCUCUCCGUCACACGGAGUGACAAAUCCCAGUCUCGAUCCGUGCCAACCCAACAGACACUUUCGGAGAUACCCGUAAUGCACCUUUAUAGUCACCCAGUUACGUUGUGACGUUUGUCACACCCAAAGCACUCCUACGGUAUCCGGGAGUUGCACGAUCUCAUGGUCUAAGGAAAAGAUACUUGACAUUGGAAAAGCUCUAGCAAACGAAACUACACGAUCUUUUAUGCUAUGCUUAAGUUGGGUCUUGUCCAUCACAUCAUUCUCCUAAUGAUGUGAUCCCGUUAUCAAUGACAUCCUAUGUCCAUAGUCAGGAAACCAUGACUAUCUGUUGAUCAACGAGCUAGUCAACUAGAGGCUUACUAGGGACAGGUUGUGGUCUAUGUAUUCACACAUGUAUUACGAUUUCCGGACAAUACAAUUAUAGCAUGAAUAAUAGACUAUUAUCAUGAACACAGAAAUAUAAUAAUAACCAUUUAUUAUUGCCUCUAGGGCAUAUUUCCAACAGAAGAUAGUCUCACAUCAACUAGGCAUAUCAACGGGCUAUGGAGAUGCCCAUUAAUAGAUAUCAAUGUGAGUGAGUAGGGAUUGCCAUGCAACGGAUGCACUAGAGCUAUAAGUGUAUGAAAGCUCAACAAAAGAACUAAGUGGGUGUGCAUCCAACUUGCUUGCUCACGAAGACCUAGGGCAAUUUGAGGAAGCCCAUCAUUGGAAUAUACAAGCCAAGUUCUAUAAUGUAAAAUUCCCACUAGUAUAUGAAAGUGACAACAUAGGAGACUCUCUAUCAUGAAGAUCAUGGUGCUACUUUGAAGCACAAGUGUGGUAAAAGGAUAGUAGCAUUGCCCCUUCUCUCUUUUUCUCUCAUUUUUUUAUUUUUUUAUUUGGCCUUUUCUCUUUUUUUUGGCCUCUCCCUUUUUUUUAGUCCGGAGUCUCAUCCCGACUUGUGGGGGAAUCAUAGUCUCCAUCAUCCUUUCCUCACUAGGACAAUGCUCUAAUAAUGAUGAUCAUCACACUUUUAUUUACUUACAACUCAAGAAUUACAACUCAAUACUUAGAACAAGAUAUGACUCUAUAUGAAUGCCUCCGGCGGUGUACUGGGAUGUGCAAUGACUCAUGAGUGACAUGUAUGAAAGAAUUAUGAACGGUGGCUUUGCCACAAAUACGAUGUCAACUACAUGAUCAUGCAAAGCAAUAUGACAAUGAUGAAGCGUGUCGUAAUAAACCGAAUGGUGGUAAGUUGCAUGGCAAUAUAUCUCGGAAUGGCUAUGGAAAUGCCAUAAUAGGUAGGUAUGGUAGCUGUUUUGAGGAAGGUAUAUGGUGGGUGUAUGAUACCGGCGAAAGGUGCGCGGUAUUAGAGAGGCUAGCAAUGGUGGAAGGGUGAGAGUGCGUAUAAUCCAUGGACUCAACAUUAGUCAUAAAGAACUCACAUACUUGUUGCAAAAAUCUACAAGUUAUCAAAGCAAAGUAUUACGCGCAUGCUCCUAGGGGGAUAGAUCUAGGAAAAGACCAUCGCUCGUCCCCGACCGCCACUCAUAAGGAAGACAAUCAAUAAAUAAAUCAUUCUCCGACUUCAUCACAUAACGGUUCACCAUACGUGCAUGCUACGGGAAUCACAAACUUCAACACAAGUAUUCCUCAAAUUCACAACUACUCAACUAGCAUGACUCUAAUAUCACCAUCUUCAUAUCUCAAAUCAAUCAUAAAGAAUAAAACUUCUCUUAGUAUUCAAUGCACUUUAUAUGAGAGUUUUUAUUAUACCCAUCUUGGAUGCCUAUCAUAUUAGGACUAAAUUCAUAAUCAAAGCAAAUUACCAUGCUGUUUAGGACUCUCAAAAUAAUAUAAGUGAAGCAUGAUACUUCAUCUAUUUCUUCAAAAUAAAACCACUGCCGUGCUCUAAAACGAUGUAAGUGAAGCACUAGAGCAAACGACAAACUACUCCGAAAGAUAUAAGUGAAGAUCAAUGAGUAGUUAAAUAAUUAUGCAACUAUGUGAAGACUCUCUAACAUUUAAGAAUUUCAGAUCUUGAUAUUUUAUUCAAACAGCAAGCAAAACAAAAGAAAAUAAAAUGACGCUCCAAGCAAAACACAUAUCAUGUGGUGAAUAAAAAUAUAGCUCCAAGUAAAGUUACCGAUGAACGAAGACGAAAGAGGGGAUGCCUUCCGGGGCAUCCCCAAGCUUAGGCUUUUGGUUGUCCUUGAAUAUUACCUUGGGGUUCCUUGGGCAUCCCCAAGCUUAGGCUCUUGCCACUCCUUAUUCCAUAGUCCAUCGAAUCUUUACCCAAAACUUGAAAACUUCACAACACAAAACUUAACAGAAAAUCUCGUAAGCUCUGUUAGCGAAAGAAAACAAAACACCACUUCAAGGUACUGUAAUGAACUCAUUAUUUAUUUAUAUUGGUGUUAAACCUACUGUAUUACAACUUUUCUAUGGUUUAUAAACAAUUUUACUAGCCAUAGAGUCAUCAAAAUAAGCAAACAACACACGAAAAGCAGAAUCUGUCAAAAACAGAACAGUCUGUAGUAAUCUGUAACUAACGCAAACUUAUGGAACUCAAAAAGUUCUACCAAAAUAGGACGAACUAGAUAAUUUGAUUAUUGAUCUGCUGCAAUUGGAAUCAGUAUUUUAUCACGUUUUGGUGAUUUUAAACAAUUGUUUUCGUGAACAGAAAGUUUCUGGAAUUUUCAACAAGAUCAAAUAACUAUCAUCCAAGAAGAUCCUAUAGGUUUAACUUGGCACAAACACUAAUUAAAACAUAAAACCACAUCUAACCAUAGGCUAGAUAGAUUAUUUAUUCCUAAACAGAACCAAAAAGAAAGAACAAAAAUAAAAAUUGGGUUGCCUCCCAACAAGCGCUAUCGUUUAACGCCCCUAGCUAGGCAUGAUGAUUUCAAUGAUGCUCACAUAAGAGAUAAGAAUUGAAAUAUAAAGAAAGCAUCAUGAAGAAUAUGACUAGCACAUUUAAGUCUAACCCACUUCCUAUGCAUAGGGAUUUUAUGAGCAAACAACUUAUGGGAACAAUAAUCAACUAGCAUAGGAAGGCAAAACAAGCAUAACUUCAAAACUUUCAACACAUAGAGGGGAAACUUGAUAUUAUUGCAAUAUGUAGAAGCAUAUGAUCCUCUCUCAUAAUAAUUUUCAGUAGCAUCAUGAAUGAAUUCAACAAUAUAACCAUCACAUAAAGCAUUCUUUUCAUGAUCUACUUGCAUAGAAAUUUUACUACUCUCCACAUAAGCAAAAUUCUUCUCAUUCGGAAUAGUGGGAGUAUCAUAAGAGAUUUGAAUACUAUAAAUUGUUUCCACAUUAAAAGAGUAAUGUUCAGAAAAAGGGUAAUCAUAAUCAUGACAAGUUUUAUAAAUAUAAUCAUCACUACUUUUUAUAGCAUAAGUUUCAUCACAAUAAUCAUCAUAAGUAGCAACUUUGUUCUCAUCAUAACCGAUUGAAACCUCUUCCAAGAUAGUGGACUCGUCACUAAAUAAAGUCAUGACCUCUCCAAAUCCACUUUCAUAAAUAUUAUAGGAUUGAACAUCCUCCAAAAUAGUGGGAUCAUUACUUCCUAAAGUUGACACUCUUCCAAACCCACUUUCAUCAAUAUAAUCAUCAUAGGUAGGAGGCAUGCUAUCAUCAUUAUAAAUUUGCAUAUCAAAACUUUGGAGGCUAAUAACAUCAUCUUCAUUAAACAUAGCAUCCCCAAGCUUGGGACAAACAUUAAUUUCAGCAAAUAUAUUCUCAAAUAUGUCAUCUUCAUCAAACAUAGCUUCCCCAAGCUUGGGCCUUUUCAUAUCAUAAGCAUAAUCAUUCUCAUCAUUAAUAGUAUGGAUAGCACCAAUAGUAUAGCAAUUAUCAUCAUCACAAUGAGUAGUAGGAGCAACAUCACUUGGGAGGGAUACCUUUUUAACUUUGCUUCUCCGUUUUUUUUCUUUUUCUUCUUCACAUCAUGUGCGGGUUUAUCCCUCUUUUUUGAGCUCCUUAUUGAUGAGAUUGGUUGAAUAGAAAACUCCUCCUCGUUACCUGAUUCAUCAUAAGAAAUAAUAGGAGGAUAUUGGGAAGUCUCUUCCCUUUCAUUAGUAUUCUCUUCAUCUUCUAUUUGUUUUCUUUUCUUUAUGUAAUUGGCAAUAUAAGGAUUUUCAAUGCAAUUCACCGCACAAUACAUAUAAAUUUCUUCUAGAUCAAUAUCGAGGAAUUUCUCGAGGUUAUAUUCUGGAAUAAUCUUAGUUCGACGUUUCAUUUCUUCAUAACCCAAAAGCAAACUAAGUUCACUAUAGUGUGCAAGGGAAAUCAAGUCAUCACAAUUUUUGGACACGAUUCGAUCAUGAAACAAUUUGCAUUUGAUAUUUAAAUGACCAUGUUCAUUGCAAAGUUCACAAGUAUGGCUAAGAAAUUUUAAAUUUUCAGCACUAACAUUUAGCCUUUCUUGUAACCAUUUAGUUUCUAAAUGCUUAUCCCUCUUGCAAUAUCUAUCUUCCCUAUUUGGUGUGUACUUGCAAACCCAAUGCACUCCACAAAAAUUGACAUGUUUAUAGGAGACAUUUUCAUCAUAACUAGUGCAAUCAUCAUUAGUACUAUGGAUAUUCAAGGAGUUCAUACUAACAACAUUGCAAUCAUGCUCAUCAUUCAAAGAUUUAGUGCCAAACAUUUUAAUGCAUUCUUCUUCUAACACUUUGGCACAAUUUUCCUUCCCAUCAUACUCACAAAAGAUAUUAAAAAGAUGAAGCGUAUAAGGUAAACUCAAUUCCAUUUUUUGUAGUUUUCUUUUAUAAACUAAACUAGUGAUAAAACAACAAACUAAAAGAUUCGAUUGCAAGAUCUAAAGAUAUACCUUCAAGCACUAACCUCCCCGGCAACGGCGCCAGAAAAGAGCUUGAUGUCUACUACGCAACCUUCUUCUUGUAGACGUUGUUGGGUCUCCAAGUGCAGAGGUUUGUAGGACAGUAGUAAAUUUCCCUCAAGUGGAUGACCUAAGGUUUAUCAAUCCGUGGGAGGUGUAGGAUCAAGAUGGUCUCUCUCAAACAACCCUACAACCAAAUAAAAAAGAGUCUCUUGUGUCCCCAACACACCCAAUACAAUGGUAAAUUCUAUAGGUGCACUAGUUCGGCGAAGAGAUGGUGAUACAAGUGCAAUAUGGAUGAUAGAUAUAGGUUUUUGUAAUCUAAAAAUAUAAAACAGCAAGGUAACUAAUGAUAAAAGUGAGCGUAAACGGUAUUGCAAUGCUAGGAAACAAGGCCUAGGGUUCAUACUUUCACUAGUGCAAGUUCUCUCAACAAUAAUAACAUAAUUGGAUCAUAUAACUAUCCUUCAACAUGCAACAAAGAGUCACUCCAAAGUCACUAAUACCUGAGAACAAACGAAGAGAUUAUGGUAGGGUACGAAACCACCUCAAAUUUAUCCUUUCUGGUCGAUCUAUUCAAGAGUCCGUAGUAAAAUAACAUGAAGCUAUUCUUUCCGUUCGAUCUAUCAUAGAGUUCGUACUAUAAUAACACCUUAAGACACAAAUCAACCAAAACCCUAAUGUCACCUAGAUACUCCAAUGUCACCUCAAGUAUCCGUGGGUAUGAUUAUACGAUAUGCAUCACAUAAUCUCAUAUUCAUCUAUUGAACUAACACAAAGAACUUCAAAGAGUGCCCCAAAGUUUCUACCGGAGAGUCAAGACGAAAACGUGUGCCAACCCCUAUGCAUAAGUUCACGAGGUCACUGAACCCGCAAGUUGAUCACCAAAACAUACAUCAAGUAGAUCACGUGAUAUCCCAUUGUCACCACAGAUAAGCACAUGCAAGACAUACAUCAAGUGUUCUCAAAUCCUUAAAGACUCAAUCCGAUAAGAUAACUUCAAAGGGAAAACUCAAUCCAUUACAAGAGAGUAGAGGGGGAGAAACAUCAUAAGAUCCAACUAUAAUAGCAAAGCUCGCGGUACAUCAAGAUCGUACCACCUCAAGAACACGAGAGAGAGAGAGAGAGAGAGAGAGAUCAAACACAUAGCUACUGGUACAUACCCUCAGCCCUGAGGGUGAACUAUUCCCUCCUCGUCAUGGAGAGCGUCGGGAUGAUGAAGAUGGCCACGGGUGAUGGAUCCCCCCUCCGGCAGGGUGCCCGAACAGGGUCCCGAUUGGUUUUUGGUGGCUACAGAGGCUUGCGGCGGCGGAACUCCCGAUCUAUUCUCUUCCCCGAAGGAUUUAGGGUAUAUGGAGAUAUAUAGGCGAAAGAAGUCGGUAAGGGGAGCCACGAGGGGCCCACAAGGGUGGAGGGCGCUCCCAGGGGGUGGGCGCGCCCCCUGCCUCGUGCUCUCCUCAUUGAUCCCCUAACAUGCACUCCAAGUCUACCGGAUUGCUUUCUUUCCAAAAAUAACUCUCCUGAAGAUUUCAUUCCGUUUGGACUCCGUUUGAUAUUCCUUUUCUUCGAAACACUGAAACAAGGGAAAAAACAGGAACUAGCACUAGGCUCUGGGUUAAUAGGUUAGUCCCAAAAAUAAUAUAAAAGUGUUUAAUAAAGCCCAUUAAACAUCCAAAAGAGAUAAUAUAAUAGCAUGGAACAAUCAAAAAUUAUAGAUACGUUGGAGACGUAUCAGACGGUUGUCGGGACAAGUCCGGAGCUAUCACCCCUCCUGGGUGAUACCGCUAAACAGCCAGCCGCCACCGUCACAUCGCACGGGUGCUCUCCGGGCCUGCCCGGCUUUCACAACGGUCUCAAGUAAAGUCAAGGUAACUGUGUGUCCAGACAUCAAGGGGAAAACCCGAGGAAUCACCCCCGGUGGAUUCCACUCGAUGUAAUCAUCAAGGUGAACGUAAGGGGAACCACCCUUGAGGUUCACACUUGAGGUGUUGCACAACAGAGCCGUAUCAGAAAUGGUUAAGGAGGAAAUCACCCUCGAUGACCACGACCAAAUAGCUACACUACAGAGAUCUCAUCAGGAGUGAUGUAUGAGGUUCCACCCUCGGCACUCAAUGGUAACUGAUACGUCUCCAACGUAUCUAUAAUUUUUUAUUGUUCCAUGCUAUACUAUAUUCUAUUUUGGAUGAUUAAUGGGCUUUAUUAUACACUUUUAUAUUAUUUUUGGGACUAACCUAUUAACCGGAGGCCCAGCCCAAAUUGCUGUUUUUUUGCCUAUUUCAGUGUUUCGUAGAAAAGGAAUAUCAAACGGAGUCCAAACGGAAUGAAACCUUCGGGAACGUGAUUUUCGGAACAAACCUGAUCCAGAGGACUUAGAGUGGACGUCAAGCAACAGACGAGGAAGCCACGAGGUAGGGGGGCACGCCUACCCCCCCUCGGCGCGCCCUCCACCCUCGUGGGCCCCUCGUGGCUCCACCGACCUACUUCUUCCUCCUAUAUAUACCUACGUACCCCCAAACCAAUAGAAGCGACCACGAAAACCUAAUUCCACCGCCGCAACCUUCUGUGCCCGUGAGAUCCCAUCCUGGGGCCGUUUCCGGCGUCCAGCCGGAGGGGGCAUUGAUCACGGAGGGCUUCUACAUCAACACCAUAGCCUCUCCGAUGAUGUGUGAGUAGUUUACCUCAGACCUUCGGGUCCAUAGUUAUUAGCUAGAUGGCUUCUUCUCUCUCUUUGGAUCUCAAUACAAAGUUCUCCUCGAUUCUCUUGGAGAUAUAUUUGAUGUAACUCUUCUUUUGCGGUGUGUUUGUCGAGAUCCGACGAAUUGUGGGUUUAUGAUCAAAUUCAUCUAUGAACAAUAUUUGAAUCUCCUCUAAAUUCUUUUAUGUAUGAUUGGUUAUCUUUGCAAGUCUCUUCAAAUUAUCAGUUUGGUUUGGCCUACUAGAUUGAUCUUUCUUGCAAUGGGAGAAGUGCUUAGCUUUGGGUUCAAUCUUGCGGUGUCCUUUCCCAGUGACAGCAGGGGCAGCAAGGCACGUAUUGUAUUGUUGCCAUCGAGGAUAAAAAGAUGGGGUUUAUAUCAUAUUGCAUGAGUUUAUCCCUCUACAUCAUGUCAUCUUGCUUAAAGCGUUACUCUGUUCUUAUGAACUUAAUACUCUAGAUGCAUGCUGGAUAGCGGUCGAUGUGUGGAGUAAUAGUAGUAGAUGCAGAAUCGUUUCAGUCUACUUGUAACGGACGUGAUGCCUAUAUACAUGAUCAUACCUAGAUAUUCUCAUAACUAUGCUCAGUUCUAUCAAUUGCUCGACAGUAAUUCGUUUACCCACCGUAAUAUUUAUGCUAUCUUGAGAGAAGCCACUAGUGAAACCUAUGGCCCCCGGGUCUAUUUUCCAUCAUAUUAAUCUCCCGUUAUUUCCAUUACUAUUUACCUUGCAAUCUUUACUUUUACCCUUUAUCAUAAAAAUACCAAAAAUAUUAUCUUAUCAUCUCUAUCAGAUCUCACUCUCGUAAGUGACCGUGAAGGGAUUGACAACCCCUUUAUCGUGUUGGUUGCGAGGUUCUUAUUUGUUUGUGUAGGUGCGUGGGACUCGAGCGUAGUCUCCUACUGGAUUGAUACCUUGGUUCUCAAAAACUAAGGGAAAUACUUACGCUACUUUACUGCAUCACCCUGUCCUCUUCAACAGAAAACCAACACAGUGCUCAAGAGGUAGCAAGAAGGAUUUCUGGCGCCGUUGCCGGGGAGGUGUGCGCCAAGUCAAGUCAAGAUUUGAACUCCCGACAACGAGCCAUUUCUGGCGCCGUUGCCGGGGAGUCUACGCACAAGUCAAGACAUACCAAGUACCCAUCACAAACUCUUAUCCCUCGCAUUACAUUAUUUGCCAUUUGCCUCUCGUUUUCCUCUCCCCCACUUCACCCUUGCCGUUUUAUUCGCCCCUCUUUCGUUCGUCUUUUUUGUUUGCUUGUGUUGCCAUGUGCCUUCUAUGUGCUUGCAUCUUCGCUUGCUAAAAAUCUAUUGUUAUGGAUCCUCAUCCACUUGCUAAUAUCUUUAAGAGAUCCAAUUAUGAUGAACCUAUUACUAGUGAGUUGAGUGCACUAGACUAUCUUUAUGAGGUUUUGCUUGAAAUUCGUGAAUCUAAAAAUUGUGAUGAAGUACUUUAUGAAGCGAUUCAUGAUAGAUCUUUGAAUAAAAAGCAUGCUUGCAAUGAUUUUAUUAUAAAUUAUAUUGAUGUAAAUUGUGCUAAUAAUAUGCAUAACCCUAAGCUUGGGGAUGCUAGUUUUGCUAUGUCCACUACUUGUUGCAAUGAUCAUGAUUGGAGUGAUUCUUCUUAUGAUCUUGAAAAUUUAUUUAAGCCCCAUGAUGAAUAUGAGAUUGAUAAUAAUAUUUGCAAUAAUAUUGAAAGUGGGUUUGUAAGAGUGUCAACUUUAGAUCCCACAUAUUUGAAGAAUGUUCAAUCUUAUGAAAUUUUUCAUAAAAGUGGGUUUGGAGAGGUCAUGACUUUAGUUAAUGUUAAUCCCACUAUUUUGGAAGAGUGUCAACUUUACAUGCAGGUGGACCGUGUUGAAAAUACUUUAUGUGAUAGCUGUUUUGUUGAAUUUGCUUAUGAUCCCACAUGUAAUUAUUAUGAGAGAGUAAAAUAUGGUUGUAGAAAUUUUCAUGAUAAUAAAUUACUUGUCGUUAUGUUGAGAUUGGUAUUGUUUCUUUCCGCUUCCUUGCAUAUGCUAGUUUUUGCUUGCUAUGAUAAUUUGUUUGCCUAUAAGAUGCCUAUGCAUAGGAAGUAUGUUAGACUUAGAUGUGUUUGUCACGUGUUUCAUGAUGCUCUCUUUGCGCUUCAAUUCUUGUCUUUCAUGUGAGCAUCAUUGAAUUCAUCAAUGCCUAGCUAGGGGCGUUAAACGAUAGCACUUGUUGGGAGGCAACCCAAUUUUAUUUUAGUUUUUUUGCUUUUUGCUCCUGUUUAGUAAUAAAUCUUUGAUCUAGCCUCUGGUUAGAUUUUUUGUGUGUUUUAAUUAGUGUUUGUGCCAAGUUAAACCUAUAGGAUCUUCUUGGAUGAUAGUUAUUUGAUCUUGCUGAAAAUUCCAGAAACUUUCUGUUCACGAAAACAAUUGUUAAAAAUCACCAGAACGUGAUAAAAUACUUAUUCCAAUUGCAGUAGAUCAAUAAAAAAUUUAUCUAGGUCGUCCUAUUUUGGUGGAUUUUUCUGAGUUCCAGAAGUUUGCGUUAGUUACAGAUUACUACAGACUGUUCUGUUUUUGACAGAUUCUGUUUUUCGUGUGUUGUUUGCUUAUUUUGAUGAAUCUAUGGCUAGUAAAAUAGUUUAUAAACCAUAGAGAAGUUGGAAUAUAGUAGGUUUAACACCAAUAUAAAUAAAGAAUGAGUUCAAUACAGUACCUUGAAGUGGUGUUUUGUUUUCUUUCGCUAACGGAGCUCACGAGAUUUUCUGUUAAGUUUUGUGUUGUGAAGUUUUCAAGUUUUGGGUAAAGAUUUGAUGGAUUAUGGAACAAGGAGUGGCAAGAGCCUAAGCUUGGGGAUGCCCAAGGCACCCCAAGGUAAAUCCAAGGACACCAAAAAGCCAAAGCUUGGGGAUGCCCCGGAAGGCAUCCCCUCUUUCGUCUUCGUGCAUCGGUAACUUUACUUGGAGCUAUAUUUUUAUUCACCACAUGAUAAGUGUUUUGCUUGGAGCGUCUUGUAUGAUUUGUGUCUUUGCUUUUUAGUUUACCACAAUCAUUCUUUCUGUACACACCUUUUGAGAGAGACACACAUGAUUCGGAAUUUAUUAGAAUACUCUAUGUGCAUCACUUAUACCUUUUGAGCUAUAUAGUUUUUGCUCUAGUGCUUCACUUAUAUCUUUUAGAGCAUGACAGUGGUUUUGUUUUAUAGAAACUAUUGUUCUCUCAUGCUUCACUUAUAUCAUUGUGAGAGUCCUAUAAAACGACAUGGUAAUUUGCUUAAAUUGAGAAAUUAGUCCUAAUAUGAUAGGCAUCCAAGAUUAGUAAAAACUUUCUUAUAAGUGCGUUGAAUACUAAGAAAAGUUCGAUGCUUGAUGAUUGUUUUUGAGAUAUGGAGGUAUUGAUAUUAAAGUUGUGCUAUUUGAGUAGUUGUGAAUUUGAGAAAUACUUGCGUUGAAGUUUGCAAGUCUCGUAGCAUGCACGUAUGGUAAAGUUGUGUAACAAAUUUGAAACAUGAGGUGUUCUUUGAUUGUCCUCCUUAUGAGUGGCGGUCGGGGACGAGUGAUGGUCUUUUCCUACCAAUCUAUACCCCUAGGAGCAUGCGCGUAGUGCUUGGUUUUUGAUGACUUGUAGAUUUUUUCAAUAAGUAUGUGAGUUCUUUAUGACUAAUGUUGAGUCCAUGGAUUAUACGCACUCUCACCCUUACAUCAUUGCUAGCCUCUUCGGUACCGUGCAUUGCCCCGUGAUACGAUACCUAUCUAUUAUGGCAUUUCCAUAGCCAUUCCGAGAUAUAUUGCCAUGCAACUUUCCACCGUUCCGUUUAUCAUGACACGUUUCAUCAUUGUCAUAUUGCCUUGCAUGAUCAUGUAGUUGACAUUGUAUUUGUGGCAAAGCCACCAUGCAUAUUAUUCAUACAUGUCACUCUUGAUUCAUUGCCCAUCCCGGUACACCGCCGGAGGCAUUCAUAUAGAGUCAUACUUUGUUCUAGUAUCGAGUUGUAAUCAUUGAGUUGUAAAUAAAUAGAAGUGUGAUGAUCAUCAUUCAUAGAGCAUUGUCCCAAAAAAAAGGCCAAAAAAAGAAAGGCCCAAAAAAAGAUAAAAAUAAAAAGGGGCAAUGUUACUAUCCUUUUUCCAUACUUGUGCUUCAAAGUAGCACCAUGGUCUUUUUGAUAGAAAGUCUCUUGUUUUGUCACUUUCAUAUACUAGUGGGAAUUUUUCAUUAUAGAACUUGGUUUGUAUAUUCCAACAAUGGGCUUCCUCAAAUGCCCUAGGUCUUCGUGAGCAAGCAAGUUGGAUGCAUACCCACUUAGUUUCUUUUGUUGAGCUUUCAUGCAUUUAUAGCUCUAGUGCAUCCGUUGCAUGGCAAUCCCUACUCCUUGCGUUGACAUCAAUCGAUGGGCAUCUCCCUAGCUCGUUGAUUAGCCGCGUCAAUGUGAGACUUUCUCCUUUUUGGUCUUCUCCACAUAACCCCCAUCAUCAUAUUCUAUUCCACCCAUAGUGCUAUAUCCAUGGCUCACGCUCAUAUAUUGCCUGAAAGUUGAAAAAAGUUUGAGAUUACUAAAGUAUGAAACAAUUGCUUGGCUUGUCAUCGGGGUUGUGCAUGAUGAGAACAUUCUUGUGUGACGAAAAUGGAGCAUGACCAAACUAUAUGAUUUUGUAGGGAUGAACUUUCUUUGGCCAUGUUAUUUUGAGAAGACAUAAUUACUUAGUUAGUAUUCUUGAUGUCAAUAUUAAACAUUUAUCUUGAAUCUUUCGGAUCUGAAUAUUCAUACCACAAAUAAGAGAAUUACAUUGAAAAUUAGGCUAAGUAGCAUUCCACAUCAAAAAUUCUGUUUUUAUCAUUUACCUACUCAAGGACGAGCAGGAAUUAAGCAUGGGGAUGCUUGAUACGUCUCCAACGUAUCUAUAAUUUUUUAUUGUUCCAUGCUAUAUUAUAUUCUGUUUUGGAUGAUUAAUGGGCUUUAUUAUACACUUUUAUAUUAUUUUUUGGACUAACCUAUUAACCGGAGGCCCGGCCCAAAUUGCUGUUUUUUUUGCCUAUUUCAGUGUUUCGCAGAAAAAGAAUAUCAAACGGAGUCCAAACGGAAUGAAACCUUCGGGAACGUGAUUUUCGGAACAAACGUGGUCCCGAGGACUUGGAGUGGACGUCAAGCAAUAGACGAGGAAGCCACGAGGUAGGGGGCGCGCCCUCCACCCUCGUGGGCCCCUCGUGGCUCCACCGACCUACUUCUUCCUCCUAUAUAUACCUACGUACCCCCAAACCAACAGAAGCGACCACGAAAACCUAAUUCCACCGCCGCAACCUUCUGUACCCGUGAGAUCCCAUCUUGGGGCCUUUUCCGGCGUCCUGCCAGAGGGGGCAUUGAUCACGGAGGGCUUCUACAUCAACACCAUAGCCUCUCUGAUGAUGUGUGAGUAGUUUACGUCAGACCUUCGAUUCCAUAGUUAUUAGCUAGAUGGCUUCUUCUCUCUCUUUGGAUCUCAAUACAAAGUUCUCCUUGAUUCUCUUGGAGAUCUAUUUGAUGUAACUCUUCUUUUGCGGUGUGUUUGUCGAGAUUCGAUGAAUUGUGGGUUUAUGAUCAAGUUUAUCUAUGAACAAUAUUUGAAUCUCCUCUGAAUUCUUUUAUGUACGAUUGGUUAUCUUUGCGAGUCUCUUUGAAUUAUCAGUUUGGUUUGGCCUACUAGAUUGAUCUUUCUUGCAAUGGGAGAAGUGCUUAGCUUUGGGUUCAAUCUUGCGGUGUCCUUUCCCAGUGACAGCAGGGGCAGCAAGGCACGUAUUGUAUUGUUGCCAUCGAGGAUAAAAAGAUGGGAUUUAUAUCAUAUUGCAUGAGUUUAUCCCUCUACAUCAUGUCAUCUUGCUUAAAGCGUUACUCUGUUCUUAUGAACUUAAUAUUCUAGAUGCAUGCUGGAUAGCGGUCGAUGUGUGGAGUAAUAGUAGUAGAUGCAGAAUCGUUUCGGUCUACUUGUCACGGACGUGAUGCCUAUAUACAUGAUCAUACCUAGAUAUUCUCAUAACUAUGCCCAAUUCUAUCAAUUGCUCGACAGUAAUUCGUUUACCCACCGUAAUAUUUAUGCUAUCUUGAGAGAAGCCACUAGUGAAACCUAUGGCCCCCGGGUCUAUUUUCCAUCAUAUUAAUCUCCCGUUAUUUCCAUUACUAUUUACCUUGCAAUCUUUACUUUUACCCUUUAUCAUAAAAAUACCAAAAAUAUUAUCUUAUCAUCUCUAUCAGAUCUCACUCUCGUAAGUGACCGUGAAGGGAUUGACAACCCCUUUAUCGCGUUGGUUGCGAGGUUCUUAUUUGUUUGUGUAGGUGCGUGGGACUCGAGCGUAGUCUCCUACUGGAUUGAUACUUGGUUCUCAAAAACUGAGGGAAAUAUUUACGCUACUUUACUGCAUCACCCUUUCUUCUUCAAGGGAAAACCAACGCAGUGCUCAAGAGGUAACAGUAACCCUGCAGAGUCGAGCAACAAAAGGGGCGUCAUGUGAUGUGAGGUGUCAGGCUGGUCAUUGAUCACGUUGAUCGAGUCGUCGAUGAUGAAGCAGGGGCAACAAGGACAAGGUGGGGGUCACUGAUGGAUCACUAACCAACCUAUACUAAGCAGUUUAGGAUAAGCAGGUAGAUAACAAUAGCAGGUACAAAAGCAGGCUAUGCAUCAGAAUAGGAGCAAUCAAAUACAUUAGCAAAAUCUAAUGCAAGCAUGAGAGAAUGGAAUGGGCGGUAUCGGGAUGAUCAAAGGGGGGCUUGCCUGGAAGCUCCGUUGAAAGGGAAGAAGGGUCGUCGUCGACGUAGUCGAUCACAGGGGCAUCAGCAGCGGUCUCGGGGUCUACCGGAGAGAAGAGGGGGAAGAAACAGUAAAUAUAAUGCAAACAGAUGCAUGACGGGGUAACACGCUGGGCUAGGGGCGUUAUAACGCAAUGCUACACGAUACCGGCGAAGGGGGAUAACAUCCGGAAAGUUUUUCCGAAGUUUGGCAUUUUCGGAUAGACGAACCGGAGGGGAAAGGUUGCAUGUUUGCUAUGCUAAGAACGUGUGACAGACGAACGGACAGCGUAUUCGGAUUCGUCAUAUUUUUCUGAGCAACUUUCAUGUAUAAAACUUUUUCAUCCGAUUUACGGAUUAAUUUAUAUGAUUUUUCAAAGUUUUAAUAAUAUUCUAAAAUUAAUAUUAAUUCAAAAAUAAUGAGUAAAUGCUAGGUGUACCCAGAUCUGUGUACACAGAAGUGUACCAGAGGGUGACAUGUGGGCCAGGCGGACCCGGUUGACCCAGUCAACAACCCAGUCAGAGUUGACCGGUCAAAGUGAGCAGUAUCAGUGGGACCCAGCUGUCAUAGACAAUUGCUAACUUUAUUUUGGUUAUUUAUUUUAAUCUCCAGGGGACCUACAUGUCAUUGACUUACUUUAAGUUGGAUUAAAUUAAUGGACUUAACUAAGCCAGGGUCCCACAUGGCAUAGACUAAAUUAGCCCUAGCUAAAUUAAAAAAACACUAAACUAAUCAAAUGAUAAUCCUAGCCUAAUUAAACGGGCCGGCCAGAGGCACAGCCAUGCCCAUGGCUGGGCAUGCACGCGCAUGAGUGCACGGCAGCCUGGCCAAAAGGGCUCGCGUGGGUGGUGGCUAGGAGCAGCAGCCUGUGGCUGCGAGCAAGCGGGCUGAUGCGCGCGUGUGCGCAGGGCCGGUGCGGCUCGGGCGCUAGCAGGGCGUGGUGCGGGCAGCAGCAUGCGGCAACGCAACAGCCAGCACGUAGCGGCGGCAACGACAGCAUGCAGUUGCGGCGAGCACAGCUGUGCGCCGGCGCGGGCAGCUGCGAGGGCGCGGCCAGGGAGCAGCAGUGCGGCAGCAGGAGCAGUGGUGAGCAGGCAGUAGCAGCAGCGGCUCAAGCACGCACGUACGCGUACGCAUACGCGUACGCGGGAGCUCCGACAAGCUCGGGGACGGCGACUACGGCAUCAAAUCGAGGCGGGAAGAAGGGGGGGUUCGGGGGAGGUGCUUACCGCGAGCACGUAGGGGAGGUCGGGGAGGCCGGAGGUUGCCGGGAUGGUGCGGAUCGAACGGCGUCGUCCGACAGCCGUGGCGGAGGAAGAAGACGCGUGCGUCGUCGAUGCAGCGCCUACGCCCCGAUCUGCUGGUGUAGUCGAUGAAGGUGACGGCGGCGCGCCUCCUGGACACGAUGGUUCGGCGCGGGGAGGCACGUGGCCGCGGGAUCGACGCAACGACGGCAACGUUGCGCUCGGUUGUGUGCGAGGAGAGGAAAACGAGCAAGGGGGGAAGGGAUUUUGAGGCUAGGGUUCGUCAGGCCUCAUUUAGUAAAGGGGAUUGAGAGGGUUUCUAGAGGAUCAACCCCGCGGGCCCAAAAACCUCUGAAAACCCCGCCCAUUUGUUUCACGUGGUUUCCCCAACCCAAUCCCUUCCAUUCCCCUUCGAUCCCCUUCAAUCCACGCGUCUCCUAAGCCUCGAGGGCACAGGCAGGGAACGAGAUGGCAAAGCGACGAUGCCGCCCCGCCGCCUCUUAUACAGUUAUAAGAUUUCUAGUCUUUAAACUAGUUUCCGGAUAGAGUCCAGAUCAAACUACCAACCACGAUAUAAUUUGUCUGUUAGUGGAUCCUAUCCGUCGAGUCCCCGAAGCACGCGCCUGUAAGCAACGCGUCAUAAUAGAGUAUAAAUUCCUCUAUUUACGUAGAUCAACAUUAGAGCCGUAAUCUAAUUACACGAUCUAGCUUCUUUCAAUUAUCAGCGUACCCGGAUAGUCUUUCCAAUAUAUAAAGCAUACUGUAUUCCAUCGAUAAUUGACCGGCUUCCUUAAGCAUGCAACACUUAAGUACAUUCCAGCAAGAGUAAUUCCAUGCACAAAACACAUGUAUAAUUCCAUAUGAGGUAUUCCGAAUAUUAAUGAUAAUAAGUAUUUGAAUAUAGUUGCAGGACACAUAAUUCCAACAUCACCCACUUUGUAUUAUCAUCAUUCUCUCUUCUCUAUACCAUUCCCUUGACCGUUACAUAGCAGCACUACUCACUGAAUUUUGUCGCUGGAUCACACAAUCAAACUGUCCAUGUAAGAUUUGGCACACAAGAUCAUCAAGAAGAGUCUCCUUCAAUUGCAUAUACAUGCGCAAAAAAGAAGUGCAAUUUAAAAAUUAACCCAAGUAGAUGUUGUACCUGAACCUCGUGUAGGAUUUGGGGGAGGUUGUCGGCGAGCCAGGCGUCGAAGUCCUCAUGCAA